rnacentral:lncRNA from 1 species
UUCUCUAUAAAAGUUAGCUUUUUAAAAUCUAUGUGAAUCUAGAAGACUUUGUAAAUCUGUAUAGUCUAAGAAUUCUUUUUGAAUCCAAGAAUGAUAAAACAAAUAAAAAAAGGGUCGCAGAAAUUUGAAUACAAUCAAUUCUAGCAUAUUCUGUCACAUCCCGACCUUUAAAUUUUUACCUUGUUUACUAGCUUGGUAUUAAUAAAAAUUUUACCGUCUCCGUCAAUAAGUUAUGGUUUAAUUGGUCCCUAAAGGGGUUUUGAGGGACGAUUAUUUCGGAGAAUUAUUCGUAGGAGAAAAAUAUGACGACGGUAAAAAUGGUAAAUUUUAGCUAAUAAAAGGUAAUUUUUAUUAGGGUAUUAUUUUUCGGGGUGUUUUAUUUUGGAGUAGGUGUGGGUAUAUAGGUGUUGGACCGGUUUGUGUGAGGCCCAAACCUAUCUCCCUCUCUUUCGUCUCUCUCUUCUCUCCCAAUUUCCCUUCCCCGAGCUCUCUCUCCCCGUUGGACUUCUCGCCGUCCGGCCACCAACCGCCGCCGCACCGGUCCCGUUCGGUCGGCCAUCAACUCAGCCACCUCCCUGGAUCGGUGACAGCCCCCCUAGCGCCGCCGUGAGGAAGAUAUCAGGCCCGAGAGGUCCGAUUGAGUUAAGCCCUCCGUCGCCGGAACUCCCUCCUCCGGCCGCCAAAGCCAGCGAUCCUUGGCUCGUUUUGUAGCCCUCCUCCCGUGCAGCAACCCUUCCAAAUGGCUCACUCUCUCUUGAGCUAGGUAAGGAGAAAUGUGGAGUUGAAUUUUCUAGGGCUUCUAGGAUGUUUUUGCUCGAUUGACCUAAUUAGGCUUGAAAUUGAUGUUUGUGCUAGUUAGGAAUGUUGUAGAGGGAGUUGAGAGGAAGAUGCUGUCAAAAAUUGAUAAGCAUUGGAGGUCGUCGGAGUCGGCUUUCGGCCGCCGCUGUGGGGGAGAUUUUUAUGGUUUUAAAUGUGGAAUAUUUAGGGGAGUUUAUUGUUAUGAAUUAUGGAAUUUUUGGAUGAGUUUUAAAUAGGUUUGUGAAUUUCCGAAGUUUUGUAAUUUCGACGGAUUAAUAAGGUAGAAUCCGACCGUUGGAUUAAAGUCGUAUAAUUUGUGGAAGGGUGUAGUUAAGGCUGCUGGUUUUAGUAUUGAGGUGUGGACCGUAUCGAAGUUAGGCAAUGAUGAGCGUGAGUAUGACUCUCGGUUAAUUUUGCCUAUUUUGUUUAAAUAUUGAAUUUUUAGUUGGGAAAUUAAUUAUAUAUAUUUGUGCCAGAGUUUGAGGAAACCUCACUGGAGUGGCGAUUUGGAUUUCGUCGGGCUUAUGCCUAGAGUUGUGAGUGGACCUUUGUUUUAAUUGAAAAGCAUGCGAUGAAUUAUUUUGUUGAUCAUUUAUUUCUUUUAAUGAGACUUAUUGAUUUCUCGGUUAUUUAGCAAUUUUUCCUUUGGAGAGUUCUGAAAAUGAGAUUUUCGGUGGAUAUGUUUAUUGGAUGUUAUGAGUAUAGUAUGUAUAUAAAUGCUAGCUAGCCAUACGUGCUUGGUCUGUCAUAAUGAGGUAAAAUAUCAUUAUGGCGUGACGUGAGUGUUAGACACAAGCGUCAUAGCUCUAUAUGAAAACUACGUUCUUUUCUGGUUUAUUUAGGUUUUCAUAUAGGGAGUCCACACGUAUAUAUACACCGUCCUCUUCGGUUAUAAUGAGGAAAAAAUUUCAUUAUGGCGCGACGUGAGCGUUAGACGCAAACGUCGUAGCCUUGUAUGAAUUUCUAUUUUUCUAAUUUGUUCAUAGAAUUCAUACAAGGAGUCUGACGAGUGUAAAUACAUACACAUAUAUGUUUAUAUAUAGUUUAGCCUGAGAGACUCCAUUUUAUUUGAGUUGGUGACUAGCCAGAGCUAGUCGUGAAAUUGUCAGUUUAUGAGUUAAGCGCUUUUGAGAGGUCGCAUGCAGUAUAAUUUCUUUGGAAAUUAAAAUGGGAAUGCAUAAAUAUUUUUUUAUUAAUUUAUUUUUGUCCACUCACUCUAACGUUUUCAAAUGUUUUGCCCUAUGCCUUUCGUUUUAAAAAUGCCCAGCUUGCAGGUUAGUUUAGUUGAGGUCGGGCGUACAUGGAGAUGAGACAUAGUUAUCAUAUAGCUUCCGCUUAUUAAUUUAUUAUGUUUCAUUUCUUCUUAUUAGAGUUGCUCUGAACUUAUAUAGGGUUGGAUAUGAGAUUUGUUUAGAUUAGUAAUUAAUUUGGGUGGUGUUGUGAUUUGGGGAGCACGAAGGCUCCAGGAGUUUAAGGUUGGAUUUAAAUUUUCAGAAGUGUUUGCAGCUUUUUAUUAGGAAGGGUUGUCCAUUUUCAAGGGAGGUUAUGCCGAAUUUUCGAUAAACUUUCCUUGGAGGUGGUCCCCGCAGGAUUUACUUUGGGUUUCAGAGUGAAAUUCGGGGUGGGUCCUGACAUAUUCCCUAUUUUACGGUAAUCUUAAAAAAAUCUUUAUAUUUCUUCCUUAGAAUUCGAAGAUUUGCCGUAAGUUUAGGAAAUGUCGUUUUUUCCUCUUCACAUUCUCUAUUUUAGAAAUAGUUAUAGAGAAUCUGUUUGUAACGAAAAGAACUUAUUUUCUUGAAAAACUCAAAUAUGGAGUUAGAAACAAAUUUGUUUAAGAAUAACCUUUUGAUGUGUUCAUCCAAACACAUAGUGGAUUCUUAACUGUCAAGCAAGUUGCUCAAAUUUUAAACAGUAACAAACUUAUAAAUCCUUGCAUGCAAAUAGAUUUGCUAAAUUCGAAAAUUCUAUAUUUCUGUAAGUAGGAUUGUUACUUACAGUGUCACAUUACACUGAUUCAUGUGCUUAUAAAUUUGAUUUGCCAAAACAAACAAACAAAAAAUGGAUUUGGUAUUCUCGUUUUCAUAAGUAAGAAGUACUAAGUUUCACUUCUUUUUGUUGGGAACUAAUCUAGUCUUCCUAAGUAUGAUAUCAACAACAACUGUGAUAUCAUCAAUUUUUCCUCCUACAUGAUUGCGGUGUUUGUCCUAGGACUUGUAUGCAACACUUGCAAAAGGGGAAUCACAGUGUUUGUCCUUGGACUUGUAUGCAGCAAAUCUUCCUAUCCUCUCUGCUAGCUCCUCUGGUUUUUCGGUCUUAAAAUCACGAUGAUUCAUGAUAUAUCCAAUCUCAUACGGGAACACAUUGUCAAACAACCCAUCAGUUGCAACUACUAUGACAUCUUCGGCUUCUAUCAGAUCGAUAAUCUCGAUCUCAUCCGCCAAGUCAGGAUCGUCGCUUCUUUUUCCAUUUCCUAAUUGGUAUGGGACAUUAAAACCUUUCCGCAGAGGUGGAGAGACUGACCGCGUAACUCGUAACUAGAGUUGUGAUUUUUCCUGAACACCAUAAAACCGCUGUCCCCAAUGUUCGCAACAUGCAAGGUUGCCUUGGCGGAGGAUCUUACUGAUCCAUGUUUGGUGUUCUUGAGAGUCAUAAUGCAAGCCGUGGAGGAUCCGAGUUUAAUGUGUUUGGUGUUGAUGUAAGCUUCCUCCAAUACUUUUAUCGGGUUGAUUUCUUGUCCAGAUUUUUGGUGAUUGUGGAUAGCCUUUUCGGAGUUGCGCAUGAGCUCCCGGGAGUACUCACCGGCAUCUACUCCCUUUGAUGCCCAACUACCAACACCGUCCACCACCCCAAUGGUCUGCUCUUCUGCAAAGAUGAAGUGAGCAUCCUCACCUUUUUUCGGUAAGUAGUAUGCGCCCAAGUCCAUCUUCAACACCACCUUGAAGUCUUAGAUACCGAUCAUACCAUCUUAGUAUCUUCAUCUUCGAGUAUACCCAUAAUCCCUUCACUUUGUCCAUAUUCUUCAUCUUGGCUAGCUAGCUAAGCUGUGUUUGUAUCCUAAUUCACCCAGUUUGCCUAGAGCUUUUAUAUAUUUUUGUUGUAUAUUGUUUUUUUUUUUGUUACAGAAGGGACCUAAAAGGCCCAAACAAAGAGGAAAAACAAAACAGCAAAACUACAAGCUAGAGGCUAGAGCAACAGCCAGUCUUUCUUGCUCUAGUAACACCAGCAAGGUCAUCAAGAACAGCCUGAAUAGCAUGAGCAGGCACAACAUCAAAGGAGAUUAAGCCAAGAUCAUGAUUGAUACUAUUUUUAGCCAAGGCAUCAGCCACCAUAUUGCAUUCUCUGAAAAUAUGCUUGAUAUUAACAUUCAGCAACUUAGACAUCAUCACAGAGCAGCUGUCCAGGAGAGAGCCAAAGGGGUGGACACCAGUAUCAGACUUCAACAUAAGCUGGACAAGGAGAGCAGAGUCCGAUUCAAUUUCCAAGUUAACAAUGUUAUGCAUAGCCACCAUUCUUAAGCCAAAGAACAGGCCCCAAGCCUCAGCAUCCAAGACCUCACCAGUGCCAAGGUUAACCUGAAAACCAUCAAUCCAGAUACCAAGAUGAUCCCUUAACACACCACCAGCACCAAUGCAGCCAGAACUGAAAGAUCUAGAUCCAUCAAUAUUCAGCUUAUAAAAAUUUUCAGGGGGCUUACACCAAGAAAACAUGGUGUAACUGAACAUAGACUGCAUAGAAGCUUUUGACUGAGCACUGGACCACUCAUCAACAUAGUUCCAAAUAACUUUAUUAGGGCAGGCAGGCAAGAUGAAAGCAGGGUCAAAAAUAACCUUAUUUCUCCACUUCCAAAUAAACCAACAAACAAAGACAAACAAAUUGCACCACUGAAUAUUGUUUUUGAUGACAACAUGACAAUGAAACUGAGCACAUAUCCAACCAUUCCAAUCCAAAGAGAAAGAAUUAGUAAUGGAACCUGGACUAAGGAUAGAGUUCCAAAUAGCUUGAGAUCUUGGACAGUCUCUUAGUAAAUGCAAAAGGGUUUCAUCAGCAUUUUUGCAAAUAGGACAACUAGCAAUAGUAGAGAAACCUCUUCUGACUCUUUGCACAUUAGUAAGGAUUUUCUGAUGAAGAACAUACCACAUGAAGGUUUUCAACUUAGGAGGACAAUUUAACUUCCAAAGAUGAGUCCACAAGGGAUUUGAAACCCCAGCAGAGUCAAAGAAAGAAUUAUAGGCUGAUUUAACAGAAAAUUUACCAUUAGCUGUGGCAUUCCAAAUCAACUUAUCAUGACCACUAACACCAAACCCAGAAGGGACACUGAUAAUCUGCAUAACAACAUGAUCAGGAAGCACAGAUUUGAGAAGAGGGAUGUUCCAACCAGUAUCACACCAGAACUCUUUAAUGGUAGCAUUCAUGUCAAUAAUCACAUGAGGAAGGGAAAAAUGGAAAAGGGUUUUACCAUCACCCACAAGUCACACCAGAACUUGAUUUUAGCACCAUCACCAAUUCUCCACUAAAGAUUCCUUCUCAUCAGCUCAACACCAUGCACAAUACCCUCUCCAAGUAUUAGAACAAUCAGCAGGAGCUAUAGAAUUAGAACUUUCAAUGCAACAAUCUUGCAAAUAUUUCUUCCUAUAAAUAUCAGCCCAUAAACCAGGAUCAUUUUGAAAAAUUCUCCAACUGGCCUUAGCGAGCAUGGCCUGGUUCAUAUCAGCAGUUUUCUUUAAUCCAAGACCCCCACGAUGAUAUUUUUGUUAUAUAUGUUGCCCUGCGUUCAAGUCUUUCUUAAAUAUAAAAAAGUAUAAAGAUAUACAUUAUGGAAGUAAAUGCAUAAUAUCCUAAUCCUUUUUGCUUAUAGGAAACUCUCCUUAAGUGAACCGAACACAAUUUAAUUCCAAUAAGAGGUUUCCUUGAAGUCUUGGGAGUAGAUCAAGUUACAUCAUAACUAGUCAUCUUUUGAGCAAGCGCUUCUAACUGCCAACUUAAACAUUACAAGUUUGCAAUGACAGGAAUCAAGGUUUAUUGUAAAGAAAAUGCAGAAAGCAAUAAAAGAGAGGGAGAAAGCUUUGGAGGCUACAUUGUGUCUAUCUUGAUUGAGAGAUAAUGAGGUUACAACAAUACAUAUAGGACUUAGAAUAUAAAAUGACGUAAAUGCCCUUGCGAUUUAAUUGUCAUAAACCUAACAUAUAGUUAACACCCCCCCCCCCCCCCCCCCCCCCCCCUCCCAACCAUAUGGUUGGGAACAAGCAUAAUGGUUGCCUGCAAACUACACAGAUAUAGCCCAAAAAAUACAAGAAAACACCCAAUUCAAUAACCCAAGAACUUGAUAUGAUAAGAUCAACUAGCUUCCAUCUUGACUUGCAGCAGAAUUGGUAUAAGAGGAGAGGCAGCUUGCUGGAAAAAAACCUCAAAGUUCUCAUGGUGAAAGCAACGGCAGUAAGGCAGCAAUAUAUAAAACAACCUGAGCAGCAAGUGAUAGAAAACUGAAAAUUUCUUCAUAUUUGACUGAAAACUGAUAUGAAUACAAACUGAAAACUGCAUAUGACUGCUAACAACUUUCUGAUAUUCAUUUGCUCACUACCAGCAACCUCACGAAAUUUGCCUUUAUCUGAAACUGAAACUACAUUUGCAUUCCAGCAGCUCAAUAUCAUCAACUUCGGCCUCUCUCUAAAACCAUCUGCAAUUUUCUCAUUCAUUCACAUAAAACAGCAGCCCAUUACUUGGAAACCAUCAACAUAAUAGCAACAUGCAGAUCCUCUCAACUCCUCUCUAUUUUGCAUAAGAAGAUCAAUGUAACAUCCCUUCACCAUUCAAGCUCUUAUAGCAGCAAUAUGACCAUUACACAUUAUACAUAGCAGAUAUGCAGCAAUCAUGGAACCAUCUCUCAAAACGAGCACAACUUGCACACAAGUCAUAUAUUCAGACCAUAAUCUAACCCAUCAAGCCAAUUCACCAGUCCAAAAACAAAUUAUAAACUGCUUCGUCACCUUUUCUUUUGGUUGACGGCAAACAAACUAUGAUAAGAAAAAUUAAACUGGAAAACUGAUGAAUUGAUCAUAACAACCCAGACUAGAGAGAAAAUCCACGACUCAAGUGAAAGAGAUGCCAAUCUGACAAACAGUACCAACUUUGCUGUAUAUACUGUAUACUAUCAUCAACUCUCAAUUCUUCUUUGCACAGUCCAUAUCCAAUUCUAAAAAGACUCUCCCAAAGUUGCACAGACCGGCAAAAGAACCCACAGAAUCAAUCCAUAACCCAACUUGAUAAGCUAGAAUCACCAAACCAUAAAAGGAAUAUAAAUUUCUUCAAUCUUAAACUUCAAACUUUGAUAAAAAUAAAAAUGGCAAACUGACAACUACUAGCAGAACAACCGAGACUAAAGAUCGAUCAAUUCCACGAUUCAAAUGAUAGAGAUGAUGAAUCGGAGAGAUAUUACCAAAUUUUCGGAAGAAACUGAUGCUAGAGAGGAGAGAGGCAGUUGAAACACAAUUGCAGAAUCCCAAAUCCAUACGACAAGACGACGACAUCGAAUGGAAAGUUUCCAGUCGCCGGAGAGAACAAGAACGUCUCCAGGAGGGAAUCGAUUCAAGAUUGGGGUUACGGUUUUGAAAUUGGGGAUCUGAAAUUGAAAGGAACUUGAAAAUGCGAAAGCAACUACGUAUCGAUAAACACAGAAGCCACAAGGUACCGGAUCAGAUACCAUGGGCUCUGAUACCAUGACAGGAAUCAAGGUUUAUUGUAAAGAAAAUGCAGAAAGCAAUAAAAGAGAGGGAAAAAGCUUUGGAGGCUACAUCGUGUCUAUCUUGAUCGAGAGAUAAUGAGGUUACAACAAUACAUAUAGUACUUAGAAUAUAGAAUGACGUAAAUGCCUUUGCGAUUUAAUUGUCAUAAACCUAACAUAUAGUUAACAUGCAACAUAGCUAAUCUUGAUCAGAAGAUUUCAAUCAAUUGCUUGCUAAUCUAUUUUUUCUUGGGUCGAAAUUGAACGGCUGAUCAGUUUUGGUCUUGCUAAUUAAGUUUAUGAAUGUAUGACAUCAGCCUUUUCAAUCUUGAAAGAUUUCAAUCACUCUCUAUUUUUUUUUUUUGCCAUUGAUCAGCUUGUUUACUCUGCUGUAAAUCAACCUGUGAGUUCUGUUUUGAGUUGGCAUGUUCUUGAAGGAUUAGUGAACAAUAAAUAUAUACUUUGCAUACUUGUUUUUAAAAUAGAGCUUUUCUCAUUACUCCUUUUACAACUCAGAGCCUCAACCUUAUAUAUACAAGAACAUGAAAUUGGAAAUCUAGUUGAUUUUAGAACAUAAAGAGUAGAAAGAAAGAAACAAAGAAAGAAAGAAGGAAAGAAAGGAAGCAAGCAGUGCGUUAAGUUUGAACUAUUAGCUAGGCCACUUCCGAAAUUUUAAGACCAAUUUGGGUUCUUCAAUUCAGCAAAAGCUAUCUUCCAUGAGCUUAACAAAUUCCUCAAAGUCUAUACGUCCAUCUCCAUUUUGAUCGAAGGACUUGAUCAUUCUUUUGCAUUCUGACUCCGAAGCUUGGAUGAAACCUAAUACAUGGAGAACCUUCUUGAUCUCCCCUGCAUCGAUGAACCCAUCUGCAUUUUCAUCAAACAAAUGGAAGGCGUCUUUCACUUCCUCCAAGCUGGGUUCCUCCUCAAGCAAGUCAGCCAUCUCCUUAGCCCCAUUAUCAUCACAUAAACUUCCCAGGUUCUCCAUAACCGCUGCCAACUCUCCUAAACACAGUUUCGUGUCACCCAAGUCUUUCGUGUUCUGUUCGACACCUACUGUCUUGUAAAUGCAAGCUUGCUGGGUUGUGAUCUUGGUCUGAUUAUUGCGGCAAACAUUGCGCAGACCAGUAUUAAGCAAGUAACUUACAAAGAAUUGAAGCGCAUACCUCAAACUUGACAAGUGUAGAAAGAAUUGCACAAUGAGCCACUUAAUAAUCAUUAUGAAAAACAGAACCCCAACAAGUGCAAGGGAGCUGCUGGCAAUUGCAUCAUCCAUGAAUGUCUUCUCCAUUUCUGGGUGGGAAUAGAAAAACUGAAAUGCUUGACUGAUUUAUUGUUAGUUGGGUUAAGACUUGCCAAUGGAGUGUGGAAGCCACUCUUCGGUGUUAUAUAGAAGUAUAGAACUACCUGAAAUGAAGUCAAGUCAUCCUGGAGAUUAAGCGUUUUGGAAAAUGCAGUCACAAGUGAUCCAAAUUUCCGUGAAAUUAUAACCAAAGACUAUUACUGUGAAAUUUCCAUACAAGUUAGGAGUUCGUCACUUUUAAUGUUUAAUCAAAUUAGGGUUGUUAUGUGUGAAAACUUCUGUGUAGUCACUAUGAGUACUCGGGGUGUGUGAGGGAGACAGAAACCCAAAACAAGUAUGGGUGGAGUUGCACAGAAGUUGCAGUGUGAAAACGAUCAAACAUGUCUAAGUCUUCUGCGUAGCCAGGAAUUAUGCCAUACGUAACAAUAAUUCUCAACUUGCAACUCCACGAAAAAUACAAAAGAAAGUGUCCAAUGUUAGCAUCGGAUUCUAUGUCGCCAAGUUUUGAUUGAUUUUAACAGAGGUAUGGAUUAUUGACACAGUUUAUCAUACUUCCGAGUAUUUCUUUUUCCAAUUUGUCACUGGCUUUCACAUGUUUCUUGUUAAUGUGAAACUCGCAUUUUUUUUUUCUUUUAGAAUUUGAUCCAUUUGGGUAGGUCUAGUGAAAACAUGUUAGGUUGCAAAUAAGACGGGACGUUACAUAAAUUGCUCAUGAUCCCGGAAUGGUCUAGCUCAAUCAACCACCAUUUUUUAACACCAAAAAGAAAAUUGGAAAUUUUGUUCCUCGUUCCGUAAUCUUCCCAAGUUAGUUAUCUUCAUAUUUUAUCACGUUUACUCUUCCUCUCAAAAAAAUUAUAUAUCACAUUUACUCGUCCGUGUGAGUCAAAUUUCUUCACCAGCAAUAUGGUUUCACUGUCUCCCUAUUAUAGUGUCCCCAACGUUCCAGCUGGAUCAGCUGGGAGUGAAUGUAUAUCGAGGUUUUGUUUUGCAGUUAUUAUUGUCUUUUCACUUGUUAACAAGAAAAAAAAAAAUCACCACUAGCCCAAAUGAUAUUGGGUCAAGAAAGGCCCCAAGAAAAUGGGUUUAUACUUUGCGUGGCCUAUUGGGUCGACCCGGCCCAACGAUUCAGUCUGAUAAGCUUAGAGAAGCAAAAACCAGCUGAGAAAGAUGAGGCCAGCAAGCAAAGAACCAACGCGCCGGAGCCGCCCUUCAUCUCCGUUAAGGGACCGAAACCCAAUCUCGCCCAGGUCUCGUCACUCCGGGCCCACACCACCACGAGCCUUUCUCCUCGAUGACGUCACCGACUUCAACAACCCAAGAAGCUUCCCUCACAAUGUGAAGAAGCAAUGCUGGGAGAAGGCGGAGAAGAUCAAAGGGCGGGACCCGGAUCGCUGGCGGCGAGACCCGCUCGGAAACACAGUGUUCCGGAAGCUCGUGGGCUGCCCCGGUUGCUUAUGUCAUGAUUACGAUCACAUUGUGCCGUACUCUAAGGUGAAGUCAUAGUCUUUUGUGUGUUUCUGUUUGUGGGGAUUGCUUGGUUUGGAUUGGUUUGUGUUCUGUGAGGUGGGUUGUGUUGGUUUUUGAGAUUAUGGCUAUGUUUGUGAUCAAAGUUCUUUGCUUUUUUGCUAUAUAUUGUGCAUUUUUGUAAUGGCAUUGUGAGCAUUCUGUUUGGAAGAUGGUACAUUUUGGAAAUGCUUGUGUUAUUCAGUUCCAUAUGUUUAUAGGACUCAAGAAGUUGUGUUCUUUUGGUCUAUGGCGUUGCUUGGAAUAUAGUUCUGUUGCUGAAAAUGGAUGUUUGUAACAUGGUUAUCUGAGACUAGAAGUUGCUCAAAUGGCUGGAUUCUGUUUUAUGGUGAUAAUUCUUGUAUACAUUAUGUUAUAAACUUAUAAUGCAGUUUUAUCAGUAUGAAUAUGUAAAUGGCUUUCUAGUUUAACCGGUUUUUGCGAGAAUAUGAAUAGCUGUGGUGAUAUAGGAUUUUGGAUCUGGUCCAGGCCUUUGAACAACCUUUAAUUACUAUUUCAGGAAAUUACUCUCACUGGGUGUAAUAAAGGUAUAUGGGCGUGUCACGUGUGAAUCGUUUACCAGGAUAGUGCCUCAGCUAAUUGUAGGUUGGUCCAAAUAAUUGUGUAACAUAAUAUGAUAGGAUUGCUACAAACAUAAUCCAGGAACUAAUGUGCACUCACUGAGGCAUCAGUUGCCCAGGAGGAGCUACAUAUCAUGUUUUAGUGAGAAGCUUCUUUUGCAAUCUCUAUCAUGGAGAUUAAAUGGUUGGCAGAGCUCAGGAUUCUAAUUGGCUUGGUGCGGCAGCUUUGUGACAACAGUCUAAAAAAUUUAGGGACGAGAGUUUCAUGUGCCUUAUGUUCUUGUGGAUGGAGAGGGAUAGUGUUUUGAGGAGAUAUUAGGAGUGAACAUUCAACACUCCUCAUACUUCUAUUUCUUUGCACUUUUAAUUAAUGUAUGCUUCUUGUGUACUGGGUGACCCAUGUUAGCAUGUUUUUGAGUUUCCUAUAUGUAGGUAAAAGCAUUUUACUUUAUAUAAUAACCUCGAUAGUUGAAUUGCUUGGCUUAUUUUUUUUCCUGUAAAACCAUGAGUACAGAAAUGGAGGAAUGAUUUUAAAUUUUUGACAUUUCAGGGAGGAGAAAGUACGCUCGAAAAUUGUCAGGUUUUACAGGUGUGGACGUAUUCUCUCUUUAGAAGCUUGGUUUAUUAAAUAAAUGUUAUAUUUUUAAUUAUUAUCUGCUAUCUCUGGUCCAAAAAAUACCAUUUUACCUGUGUUUAUAAAUAAUCUUGCUACAUAUACCUCCACUACUCAGAGAUGGUUUAGCAAAUCAGCAAGCUGAUAUCUAAUGUGGCCAAUAGCAUCAAAGAACUACUGUAGAAGAGUGCAGGACAGAGUUGUAUGUUGUGUGAAAUCCUAGUUUAGAAAUGACUGUUAAUCAGCAGAGUUCAAAAAGUGAUGAACCAUGCAGAUAAACCUUAUCAUUUCUCUCUCAAAGUCAAUUUUAAGUCAUUCACUAAAUCUCACCAAGGUUGCACAUAACAUCUUCAUCUCAUUUUCUUUUAUGUGUAGCCUGUACUUAACUUGCGCCCAAAUUUUAUUGGAACUGGAGUUCACCUUGGUUUUUCUAGUUUCUGUAUCCCGUCUUAAAGAACAGAAAAAUUUACCCUAGAAAAUAUUUUACAUUUGUUAAAAAUCUAAAACCAUGUGUUCUUCUCUUCCAUACUGUAGGCAAAAGUGAACAGAUCAAAAGGAAACCGAACAGAGUUUUCCAGGGCUGAGCUCAUACAGAAAAGUUCUUACUGUCGGGUUUCAGGUAUCCCAUGAAACUCCAAAAACUUGCGAACGUCCUUGAGAGGAAGAAUUCAACUAAUUGAAUAACAGAUAACAGAGUUUCUUUUACAUGCAGGUCGUGAUAUGGAUCUAAUUGAACUGUCAGCCUAUGGUAAUGUCAGUCCUGCAAAAGAAGAUUCAUACUGUCGGGUUCCAGGUAAUCUCAAAAAACUCCUGAAGUCCUCGAGGGGAUGAAUGCAACUAACUGUAACAUGUAGAAGUUUCUUGAAAGUGCAGGUCGUGAUAUUGAUCUGAUUGACUCAGCCAAAGGCAACAUCCGCAAUGCACAAGAGUUUUGGGGGUGUACAAUCCAAUAAUCUGUUGUGUACGCAUUAAGUUCUAACAUGGAGACUGGAAAACUAGGUUCCAGUCAUAUUUGUAUCAAGCUGCAUAGAAUGUCAUUCAGUGAUUGUAAGAGGAGCAGUAUGAGGACAGUCCAUUUACAAAUCCUCAUGCGCAAGGUUAGCUAUCUGUAAAGUGAAAACCAUAGCUUGUUGAUUACACUUGUGAUGGAUGUAUGCAUGGUCACGAUAAAUGAAAAUUCUUCCUUGACAAACACUGACUUCUCACUUCAAAUUUGUGUUUAAGGCUAGCUUUAAGUGUACCUAUUAAGACAGUAGCAUAUCGGUAAUCACCAACUUGAACUAAUCAUCUUUAGCUCUUUAAGAAAAGAUAGAAAGUUGGCUUAUAUAUAUGUGUGUGUGUACAAGUAGUUUGAUUAUAAGAUAGAUUACUCAAUCAGACACCUUCAAACUCCAAACGUGGUGUUCCUUCUAUACUCUAUAGAGGAAAAAGAAAAGAUGAAAGAAAAAGUUGGAUGUUGGUUCUCUUUUCUUGCUUUCUGUUGGGAAAGUGAAGCUUCACAUCCCACUUUCUUUCAAGUGCUUUUUCAUGUUUUUUUCUUUUCCUGAAGAAGCAUUUCAAAUGUUAGAAGAAAAAAGCUAAAGAAAGUAGAGACACACACUUGAAAAACUUUUUGUUAUUCUCUGAUUGGAAGCUCCACUAUGAUGCGUAUACAGGUGUUCCACUUCCAUUUGAAUUCCUGUGAUUUUUAUGAAUGGUCUGUAUAUAUGUAUUGAUCGUCAUACGUUUACGUGGGUAAUAGUCUACAAUACUACACAGAUUUAUUUAUAUCUUGAAAUAUGACGGAGUGUGUCGCUAAACACAAUUACUAAUGACCAAAUUAUUCAGAACUGAAUAAUCUCAUUUUUAAUCCUCUCUUUUUAUUGAACUAGGAUACGGUUGAACACAUAGUUUUUGGAAUAGAUAGGUUUGAACUUUCAAUAAGAGCACUAGACUGGAGGAUAAGUUUAUAGUGGGAGAUUGACUGACCCAUAAUGAAAAGAGCUGCAUUUCCACGAGCAAUGCAGAGAGUCAACAUUAAACUAAUAGGAGCACUUGGCCUAAUUGAUCAUAUCAUUUUCAUAGUUCAUAGGCAGAGUGCUAUUAUUGCAGUCGAAAUCGCUGACCAGAUUGAUACAAUUUUCUCUGAAAUCUUUCAUCAAGGAAAAUGAACCAAGUAUAUGAAACUCCAUAACCUGGUUCUCUAAUAAUCGACAUCAUACACCUAACUGUAAUCAGUCCUAUACCUAAUUGGUACGGGUUAGGUGUUUGUCUUAUAAACUGAAACCAAAUCCUCAGAAUUAAUCGCUAACUGAGUUUUUGUGGCCAAGUGUAAUCUGGCUUGAGUGCUUUAGUGAAACAGUUUGUGCUGUCAUCUUCACUGAACAAGAAUGAAGAGUUGCAGAAAGACUACCAAUUAGCUAUUCUAUAAGUGUUUCUGCGGACAUGUUCCAUGUUCAACUUCCCACGAUUAAAAAGGAAAGAGCUGGGGAAGUCUUUUCUUUCCUUUUCCCUUUUCACUCGGGUGAAAUUGCUAAUAAUGUAAAGCCUUGUGUAUGAAGGGUCUGUGGAAAAGGUAGAAUUUCGUGUUAGAACAGUUAGAUUGACAUGACUUAACCAACCGUUUCCUUACUUUGAUUUCUUCACAAUGUGACUUUUAUGGGUGAUUAGUUAGAAAGAGAGGUCAGUUCCUUCUAGGGUAGGGAUAUAUCAUUAGCAUUGCUGCAUUAGGCAUCAGGUACUUGUGAUCCACAAAAAGUAGAACUUGUAAGGUUGUGUUGUGUUCAAGGUUUAGUUUCGUUUUUAAUGGAUAGUCUGGUACAAAAAUCUAAUGGUUAUAAGAUAGUGAUACAGAUACUGAACCAACCCUGUCAUUAUUGUCUUCUUUGUUUCCCAGAAACUUGAAAAUUAGGCAUAUGGAUGAAAUGGGAUGGGUAGUUGCUUUCGUAUAGAAAAGGAAAAUAGCAAAAAGGAAAGGAAUUAAAAGGAGGGAAGAGUGCCAAAAGGAUUCAUGGCAUUAUGUGCAAUUUGGGUCCCCUAACAACUCAUCUUUACAUAAAAUGUGGCCUGAAUUGCUUGGUUGCACCAAAAUAUCUGUGUAUUUAUAAUUUCUUGAUUGGUAUGAGACACACAUGUGUUUGAUGUUGAUGUAUCUACCAAGGUGCUUUACAAUGCAAUUAGGUAUUUUCAUUUCAUUUCAUUCCACUAAGGUAAUCCUAUGAUCCAUAAGUUUUUUAUUGAGUUAGGACUUAGCACACUUUCCUGGUCUCUAAUUGCUCAAGUUAAUAUGUGUUACCCUAUCUUUUACCUAUGAAUCUAUGAUUAAUCUUGCUUCUUACAGUUUUUCUUCGUAAUUAUUGAAGGAGAAGAAAACAAGAAGAGAGCAGGAAAAUAUGAGGCAGGCCCUGCAGCUCAACUUGUGUGCAAGUUGCUUAGGUCCUUUGCUGGUGAAAGGGACAGCAAUUUGACCCUUGUGGAAUAUUUAUUCAAGUUUAUCUACUCAAUGGAGUCACUAAAAGAUCAAUUUUGUUGGUUUGUCUGCAACUCCAUUUCAGCUUAGGGCCCCUUCUUCAUUAAUCUUCAUCUUUUGAUCUAGAAUUUAGAUUUAGAGCAAGACCAACUAUACUGCCAAAGAUUUUUCUUCUAAUUUGAACAAAGAACCAGAGAGAAUGGAAGGCAAAGAGAUAAAGGAUGAUGUUAAUUUUACAGCUAUGUAUUUCACAUGAAGAUAUGUACAUGAACAACACAAACUCAGAGUACAUCAGAAGGAAUCUGUGCAUGCUGUUUGUUACAAGAAGGCAAAAUUAGUUUCCACUAGUACUAGUUUCCCUAUCUUACUGAGGAAACCCUAGAGUUGAGACUGGCCGGAUGGGGUUAGCUGUCAAAACUCAUUCGAGAGACGAUUGAAUCCAACCUCACUAUUCCAGCUUAUGCGAAAGGGUAACACCAUGGCGUAAGUGAACCAAUUCAAGUGCUCUCGUGGAAGUUGAGUGAUCUAGACAAGGCUGCUGGGUUGGCUAGCAUAGCCGGAGAGGUUUCAAGGACAUGUUUCUUUUGAUCACCCUUUGAUUGUGAUUGGAAGGCCUUAAACAGCCCUUUCCCGCUGCUGAUGCAAUCGUUCUUGAUCCCAAGUGUUGACCAUAUCGAACUCUUUGCAGCCUCACUUGGGUCAUCAAUCCUUAAUGUUUUCGGAACCAGAACACAUCCAUUUUUCUGUUUCGAUGGCUCUUCUUUCUCCAAGUGAACUUCUGGUCUGAGAAUCUCUCGCUCCCUUGAAUGCUUCCCCAGAAUUGGAGAACUUGAGGCAGAGUUUGGAGUCUUUUGGUUUGGAGAAGCAGGCUGUGGAUUGAACCAAGGAACUGGUACUUGGAAAGGGAUGCCACAAUUCCAAUAAGGUGCAGGAAACACUGGUAUAGGCAUUCCCGGAGGGGCAAAAGCCGGUGGGGGAACUGCGGAAUUCCAUUGAUACGGCCAAGGAACACCAGGAAGACAUGGAAUAUGUGAGGAGAAGCCAUUGGCAUUUGGAAUUUGUGGUUUCGAAGCUGUUAUAUCAUCACCAUUUUCUUUGUCCUUGCAAGGAGCUGGAAAUACUAAUUCUUCGCUCUUAUGGAAUCCAUUUCGAGUAGUACCAUUUAAGACCUUUUUAUUUGCAAGGUUUAAAACAGAAGCCAUGGAAUCACAGACUGGUGUAUCUACGCCAAAGCUAAGGACUCUGCCAUUGCUUUUCAAUCCGGGGUGGUGAGCUCCAUUUGGAGCAUCCAUUCGAGCUACUUGAAGAGCAUCGGAAAUUGUGAUCUGGCGAUAGUGUGAGGCAGAGUUCUUGUUCUUCCUACGACCAGCUCCUACAGGCACAUUCCUCAUUGUACCGCCUGCAGUCCAGUAUCUUUGACAGGCCUUGCAGAAAUGGCGUGGUUGAUUGACAUUGUAAUUGUUGUAGUAACAAAAUUUAGUGUCCAUGCUAUUGCAGCGAGGGCAUGGUAGUAUCUUGUCAGGCUUCUUCAGGGUUUUCUCUUUCGAGUUGGUUGCAUCAUUCUGUUCUUUCUCCUCCGGAGAUUUUGGUUUUGCGCUUUCUUCAUCGAUUGAGGGUGUUUUUGGGUUCACAUUACAUUCUGGUAGCAUUUCCAUACUGGUUGAGUCUUCAGUUUUUGGAGAAUCAUCUUGUUCUUCUAUGCUCUCAGUGGCUUUUGUUGAUGGUGAAUCCUGAAGUUUCACAAGUAUGCUUUAGGAACAAGUACUGAAAAAUCAGAACAGAAGCAACCAGUGUGAUAACACCUUUGAUUAAAAGAAAAUUAGGAAAAAUUGAGUCCUUUUUCUUUUGGUUUUUAGCUUCUCUGUAGUUUUCAUUGACAUAAUCAAAGCUAUUGAACAUUCCAGAUAUAGAUUGACAACUUGUGAAAUGAAUUCCAAGAAAAUUUAGGAAAUUAUUUUCACAGACUAGUGAAAAGAAAAAUAUCAAUAAUGAAAACAACAGCUUUCUUUCUAGCUUGUGGCUGUGAAGGUAUGGCUCCCUAACAGAUGGGAAAAGCAAGAAACCACUAAUUUCUAAUGGGGCAUUCAAACUAAACUAUGGGGGAAAUUCAAAUCUAAUUGAACUCAACAGACCAGAAGCAGAGAAAAGUAAGAUGAUGACUUAUCAAUUCAUUGAAGCAAAACAGAGUGAUGGAAACAGAUAGUUCUUCAAGCUUUCCACUUUCCAAACACAAAGACUCGAAACAAUUCCCAAGUUCAAAACAAAAACAGUAGUGAGGCAACAGUUUGCAGAAGUAAGAUUAACCCAUGAAAGCUCUCGGCAUUUCGACAAAAGGAUCCCUCUUAGAUUUUCCAAAACACACCUCCUCUCUCUCUCUCAGAUUCACACAAACAAGUGUAUAGAAGCUAGUGUGCAUGUACGUUACCUUGUCUUCUACAUCCUCUUCUUGAUUAUCAACUCGCGAUCGUUUUUCCUCUCUGGCCAGCGAAGUAAACCUCAAGUCCUCGUCGUCGGCGCCGGCCGGAAGCGGAAUCUUCAUGCCGAAAAGCUUGAUCGCCGGGUCCUUAGCUUCGAGCAGCAUGUUGUUGUUUUUUCUUUUUCUUGUUGUUGACUACUGUAAAAAACGCGCGAGUUCUUUCUUUCUCUCUCGCUCUGGCUUUGGCUCAAGGAAUGAGAUUUUGAUCCGUUUAAACUUUAAACAGAAACACAGAGAGAGAGAGAGGGUGGAUGCCACAUCAGCCAAAGGGUUUGAUUCUGAGCCACAAGUUCUUGUGGCCUCCAGAUUUUCUUUUUCAUUUCUUUCUCUCUCUACUCCUAAUUUCUUAAUACUUGGAUUCUCUCUCUCUUUAACCGGGAGCUGCUUCAGCUGCAUGCAAAUUCGGUGCUAUCCAACAUCGACCUUUUUCAAUUCAUGGGAGCUUGUAUGUAUACUCGAUCGGUUUAAAGUUGAUUCUAACUUUAGUAAUUAAAAAACAUUUGGAAUUUAUAUAAAUCGCUUUAUAUUGCAUUUGUCAAAAGAAUUUAAAAGUAUUUGAGUUAUAUAAGUGUAUGUUCUUUAAGGGGUAUCAUUCUAAGAAUCGACACCACGUGUGUUUGAGCUUAUCGGAAUAAGCACUUCAAAUAACAUAAAACACAUGUGUUGAGAAAAAUAACGUUUAACGCUAGAACUUUUGCAAUUGGAAGAAUUUGAUUUGGAAAAGCAUCUCUUCAUUUCUUCGAUAUCGAGAGUCAGGUUUGUUUUGAGGGUUUGCGGUAUUUUGGUAACUAGCUAUAGAACUCAGGUCAUGCCUACUAGUAUGUAUUUCAAAUGAAUUGUCCGUCAAGAUAAAAUAAUUUGCUCGUUUAAUGAUUAAUAAACGAGAUAUUAAUUUAUUUUGAUCAAAGAACCAUCCUAUUGUGCAACUUAGUCUCUAAACCAAAAAAAGAGAAACAAUGUAAAAAAAAAAAAAAAGUCUCCAAAUGAUUUAUAACAAGCCCAGUACCGUUUGGUCUAGUGACAUAAGUCUCUCCUUAUAAGUGAAAUGUCGUCAGUAUUAUGACAUAUUAAUUAUGUAUUUAAUAAAAUAAAAUAAAUACUUAUAACAAAUAAGAGAUUUUUCUAUCAAAAAAUCAGAGAACGUACACUUGCACCAACAUGGCAACAUUAUUGUGUUCAAUAACAUCAGUGUACUUUCCGAUAGACAGUUGAAUGACAAAAAUUGACAUAUUUAAGGAGUUGAAAUCACUUAAUAGAUACUUAGCCACAUGUAAUGUCGAUACAUAACGAUAAUUUAUCCCUUUUGAUCAUAGAAAGAACAACAAGAAGAAGAAGAAACCAGCUCUUCCAACGUUAAACAUGUUUAAUUUAAUAAAAAAAAAAAAAAAAAAAAAACGUUAAACAUGUUUAAGUGAGAACUGGGAAGCCUACCUAAGUUCCCUUUAGAUACUCAACACGUAUCCUAGUGCGCAACACGUGUAAGGCAUCCACCAGUUCAGCUCCACGCUUAAUUUUUUUCUAACUUCGAGAGGCUGACACGCGUCCCGUGUUAGUGGAGUGGGAUUUUUUUUUAAAACGUGAUUAAGUACGAUGUACACUCACUAAAAGCCUAAAGGUCAUAUUGACCCUUGGAACUUUGGAUCAGGAUAAUCACAUAGUUGAUACCCCCAAUUAGACUAUCUGAUUAAACAAGCCUAAUUCUAAAGAAAAAGUUAUAAGAGUUGAGUUGUUAAAUGUCGAAUGGCCCGUGGGCGGCUCAGAAUGGUGUUUAACAUGAUUUAAAAUUAAGAUAAUUAUGCCUGGUAGUUUCAUUUUGAUUUUGACAGGAUGAUUAAUUAUGUUAAGCAAGUGAUUAGGAUGGAAAUUAGAAUAAGGAAUUUCAUGGUCAUUUGUUGUUUAUUAUUUGAGCAAGUUUGCUUUCAAAUGCAAGCUAUGAUUAAUUGAUUAGGAACAUCUUAUGAAACCCUUUUCUAGUGAUGCAUUCUACAAGCCCAAUGGGUACUCUUCCCCAUUGACACACGGUGACUAUUAAGGUUUCUGAAGCCCAAUUUAUCAGCAUGUCUUUUUUAGUCGACAGCCCAAAGAGAAAUUGAAAAGAAUAAACUUGUACUACUUCCUUGAUCAUAUCUGGCACUUCACCAUCAAGAAUUUCUUUUGAUGCUUCUGUCCAAACUAACCGGUCUGCUAUUGGGUUUUGUUCCGGGAUGUUACUGGUAAUUCAUUGACGUCAGCUGUCAGGCAUAUUGGAGACACUUCGAUAUUGGUGGUUGAGGCUACAGCUUUUAAGGAAGCUUUACAUAUAGCGUGGUUGUAAAGAUUCUCUCAUGUGCUGGUGGAAGGAGACUCAAAGAUUAUAAUUGACUGUCUUAAUGAGAAGGCUUCUACUCCAUGGUGUGUUCAUUUUGUCAUUCAAGAUAUUUUGUGGCUCACUUCCCAAUUUCAAGCUAUUGUUAAAUCCGACAUGUUCAUCGUGAAGCAAAUUUUGUGACGGACAGGUUAGCCUCGUUGGGCAUUGUAGCAUCAUCUCUUUUAGUUUAGUUUUACUACUUAUCUUAUUUUGUGUACCUAGCGUUCUAUUUGGAUCAGUUGAGGAGAGGUAUGUCUUCUUAGAAGUUUCGUGUUGUAGUUUGUUUUAUGUAAAACUUUCUUUAUUUAUUGAAAUAAAUUUUUUUUGUUUUUUUUUUGCUCGUAUGGGAGCAGCAAUGCUGGAAGCCCAGGAGAGAAUAAUCGAUCAAAGCGAUGCAUGAGUGGAUCUUAGUGAAUUGUAACAUCAAGAAUCAAUUUUGUCACUUAUAUAUAUACUAGUCUCAUACCUAUACGACACGACCCAUGAGUCAUUGGUUCAGUUGUUAUUAGCAUUUUAAAUUAUUUUUGUUGUAUUAAUAUGUUAUUUCUAUUUAUUUUAUCAAAAAUAUACAGUAUAUUUAAUGAUUUUAUUAUGAGAUUUAAUCUUUUUCUAGAUUCAAGUCAGGUAAUCCACAGUCUGGUGAAACUUAAUAAAACUAUAGUUAAACAGUCAUGACAAUUUGUUUGCUCCGAGAAUUUCACUAACGGAAUUUAUAUUUUGUGUGGAUUCACGGAUCGAGCUCCAUUUUUCUAUGAAAGUUUUGGGAUUGUGCAUGUCUCAAUCUCCUAGCGUGCGAACACUGAUCGAAACUCAGUGGAAAUAAGAGAAAUUGUUGGUGAUCGAUGGAAGUACUUAUUUUCUUUAGAAUGACGAUGUCUUCUUGCUCCCUUCUAAUUCAUUUAUAAAGAAAACUUGGCAUCAUAUGUAGGAAAGGCGAGAAAAAUUCCUCUGAAUUAUCACGCCAUAACCACAUCUUCAAACCUCCUCAAUCCCUUUCUGGUCUGAUAAUCCCAUGGAUACCUAUACAAGUGUGAUCAUAUGUUGUGAAAGGAUUGACUAGCUUGAGAGGGUAUAUACCAGCUUCACUGUACCAGAUCCCAUCAGAAUGGGUUGACAAUAUAUAAAGCUAGCAUGAAUGCAUGAUGAAGUGCUGCCAAUUAAGCAGAAAGCAGUGCUUCUGAAAAUUCAGUGUGCCCUUAUUUGACGCCUUUAGCUUUUGUAACUUUCUCAACCAUUUCGGAUCGUAAGGCUUUAAGAGGUUCACAUUGUUUCCUACUUAAUCAGUAUUAUAACCUUUGGCUUGAAUUGGCUGUUACAUCAGCUAACUUAGUUUGCCUAAUCCACGAUCCUACUUUUACAGACAUAUCAUAAUUUGGAAACCAUAUACAUAAGUGGGCGGUGACCAACCAAACCUUUGAUAAGUAUGAAGUCAAACAAUAUAUAGAUCUCAAAAGCUAAACAGAUCAAUCCUAAUUCUUCUACGUAACUAGUUCAAAAAGAGUAUAAUUCUCAUCAGUUUCAUUUACUAAUCGUAAUAAUUAAACAAAAGCUCAUUCGAUUCAUAACCCUAAAACCUAAUUAAGGAUGCUGCUUGAGCUAGGCACAGUGUGUUCACUUCGAUAUUCUCAUGUAGAAACUAAAACACAAAGUUGGUAUUACAGAUUUACAAUAUAUAUGAGGUAGUCGAUCUGGUAGUCUUUUAAAAAUUUUGCUUGGAAUAUGGGAGGAAAUUUCCAGACUGCAAAUAUUAGUUUUAUGACAGUAACUUUUUCAUGCAUGUAUUUUAGAGAAAGAAACUUCCAUGCUGCCCAGCUCGCAAAAGGGGUGUGACUUGUGAGUGCGAGUCACUCCUAAAUUAUAAAACGAGCAAAUUGUCAUUUGGGAAUUACCAAACACUUGUACAUCAUCUUAAACUACACACACCUCAAUCUCAAACAGAUCUAUUUUUUUAGUGACCUAACACCACCCAUAUAUCAUCUGCAUAUGCUCUACACAUAUAAUCCAAUUCAACCAGAUCUUUCUUAUACGUUUCUUGCUAACCAAGGUAUUAGUCAACCAAGUCAUACUUGAAUCCCAAACUUUGCACCACAUUUAGUGGCUGUUGUUUAUUGACAAGCCCUUUGCUUUUACUGGAUUUCUCUCUUGCAUUCGAUUCAGUAUCAUUGUAUUGAGCUCCAAUUAUGAAUCCCACUAAGACCCUUGUUCACAAAACCCCCAACUUAGUGCAUGAUCUCUCUCAAGUCUUGCCACCCCAUCAUUCUUGUGUCACCCUCCACUACUAAUUUGCACUACUACUUACUGUGUAUGCAGCUACCUAGCUAGUGUGUCUCCCUCUUUCUAAUUUCGUGUUCAACAUUUAAAUAUCAAAUUCCACAGCCACGAUAGACAUGCAUCAUUCAUGGCUCAUUUCAAACACUGUGAUCGAUUUGCAAAUUGCAAAAGGUUGGAAACGCGUACGGCCCCCACGAAACGAACUGUGGUUUCUUUCCUCCUUUUUGACUUUAAACACUAUAAUUGUUUUUUCCACAGCACAAAACAAGGUCCAGAUAGGAAACCCACAGUGUAAUUUCAUGUAUAAAUUGAGUACUACUGCCUUUUUUUGGAUCAGACGACUCAACAUUCAUUCACAGUUUCACACAGGCUAGCUUGCUUCUUCCUGCUGCUUACUUCAAGAUCAUCAGCAAUGGCUAGCAGUACUACUCUCCUUCGUCUACUUGUUAUCUUGUUAGGGUUUUCUCUCCUCAUCUGCGCUAAUGCUGUCCCAGUUACAAGUAAUUUUCUUAUAUUAACCACCUUUUCUCAUACAUUCUCGUUCUUCUUCUACUUUGAUCUUCUUCUGACUUGUUACUUUUGCUUGCAGGAAUCGGAGGCCUUAAUAAGCAUAUCGGACCUGAAGUUCAUCAAACCGUUGCAGAGAAUAACAAGCCGGUAUAUAUAUAUUGACUCGAUUGACAAAAUGGUUUUCUAUGUCAUAUAUAGUGAGGUUCAACAUCUUCUUUCUGUCACUAAUAUUGUAGUUAAUUUGUAUAUUUGAAUUCAGAUGACAACAGAGAUGAGAUUUUCUGAGAGGAUGGAUGUGGAGCUUAAUGACUAUCCGGGAUCAGGGGCCAACAACCGCCACACUCCGAAGCCUCAAUAUGCGAGAUGUGCUGAUUGCUAAAUUAAGAAGAAUAUUUCUUCAGUUGCAAGUGUUUAUUUAUCUGCAUGUGGAUUAGAUCUCUCUCUUGCAUGAUCACUGAUUUUAAGUUUAUUAUUGGGCUGAAAUUAGAGGGGAAUGACUGUAACAGUAGGAGUAGAUGAACUAGGUGAUCGAGGUCUGGAUUAGUAUACAUAUAUAAUUAUAUAUGUACCAAGAGGAGUAUGCAUGGAUGGUCAGAGUAGUAUUGAAAUAUGAACAUCAGUACUGUACUGAAAUGGAUGUGAAAGAUCUAGCUGCUUUCUAUCUAUAUAAAUCCAGUGGAUAAAUUGGGCAGUUUAUGCAUGAUUUCAAAUCCUAUAUAUGUUCCAGUACGUUUUUUUCUGUAUUCCGGUGAUUCCCUCAUUUCCCUGCAGUUUAUGCUGGCUUUUUACGUACUAAGAUGAUCAAGGUACAGCUAGUAAAUGUGAAACUAGAACAGAAAAUUAAGACCAACGUAAAGUUAUAUAAUAGCCAAAAGGAUGAGAAGUUGAGAACUGCUUUGCUCUUUGUUCGUUUUCUUUUUAGUUCCUACAGGCUGUUAACUUGUUAUUGGAGAAAUAACCAAUUCCUAUAGAAUGUCAAAUAGUUAACAACUAGACGUAAUGGCCUUAAACAAGCAUUUGAGGCAAAUGAUCCAAAGCAUAUAUAUAAACCAGACGUCGUGUCUAAAUAUCUCAAAGCAAUAUGGAUCUCAAAGCAAGUGGAGUAAUUGUUUUCUGGUAGAUUUCCACUUUGAUUGCCACUAAGUUGAACAUUGCUGGAAAGCUUGCAAGCACAAAGUUUGUAAUGGAAUCCUUUAGUUAUUCAAACGUAUCUGUUAUCUUCCAUAUCCUCUAUCUAUAUAUAAUAAGCAGCCAUGUUGGAGCUAUAUAUAUAAACAACAUACGCUGAUCGAUCUUAAAUUCUUAAUAGACAAAAGUUAAAUUUAAGACAAAAGUUAAACUAUAUCCAAGUAACUGAUACAGAAGAAGAGAGGGGGUAUAAAAAAUAUUAAAAAAUUCAUUUGCUGAGAAUCGAACUUGGGUUCGAAGUUUAGAGCAAACUGAACUGCACAUCCACUGAUCCACCUUUUAGACGAUUCCCUUUAGCCAUUGUUAAAAGACGAUACUAACCUUCAUCUGAGAAGACUCGCCGUCAUCGGGUCUUGUGAGCCAGACUCUUGUAGCGGCGGCAUCCGACCACCCAGACUAGGCCAGACAUCAGCCGAGAUACGGGAUACGGCCGUAUAGGCGUCAUAUACUGCCGGAUACGUUCGGAUAUGCCAGGAUACGAGUACGGGUACCGAAGGGUAAAAAAGACAUUUACUAUAUAGGUUUGAAACAAAAGCAAACACAACGACGUCGUCUUCACAAUCCCCAAAUUCGAAUUGGGCGAACUCUGCAACCAGCGAAAUCAAAACCCCCACACUCUGGCGAAACCUAGAGUCACGAUCGAAGCCUCAACCCACAUCACAGAACCGCCGUAAUUCGCAGAAACCAAUCUCUCAAGGUAAAAUUGUCAAACCUCACACUCUUUCUCGAUACAAUAUUAGCAAAACCCUAACAUUAUCAAUUUGGGGGUUUCGUCGUUGACUUCAAAUUUGCUCUGUUUCUCUCAAAUUUCUGAUCCAAGAUCACAACUUUAACCCCAGAUGUCUAACGCCAAGAGAACCCAGCUCGAUUCCGACGCUGACCACGGCGACGAUGACGUCAUCAAGUUCCAGAAACUAGGGACUGUGGAUUCGUCCCCGUCAGCCGCCGGAGAGCAACCCCUGCCGGAGUAUUUUUCUUUCUCUCCGCGGCGGCCGAGAGUGGUCCUCACGCCGGAUCAGCACAAGUGGUGCUCCCAGGCUCUCAAGGUGUUCAAAGACAAGCUAGACAAGCCUGGCCUGAUCAGCCGGGAGUUUGAUGAGCUGUAUGAGCGAGCUGUGGUUGAGAAGAGCUGCAAUGUGGGUCUCAGCAGUGCCAACUGGAGGAAGAAUCGGUACGACGAGAUCUUGCCGUUUGAUGAAAGCAGGGUUGUUCUGAAGGGGAGGUCUAACAGUAGUGGAGGUGACUACAUCAAUGCCAGCUUUGUGACGACUAGCGCGUCUCGUUUCAUUGCUACGCAAGGUCCACUUCCGAAUACUUACGAGGAUUUCUGGGAGAUGGUGAUGCAGUACCGGUGCCCUGUUAUCGUUAUGCUUACUAGAUUGGAUAGCGGUAAGUGUGGAGACUAUUUUCGAGCAGAGGAUGAAAGAGAUUUUGGAAAUGUGUGUAUUGUCACUAAGUGGAUUGGAAGUAGUGAGUCUGGUGGGAGUAGUUCUUCGUUAGUGUUGAGGCUUUUGGAGGUGAGGCGUAAGGCGGGGUCAGAGGAGCCGCCUGUGUCUGUGUUGCAUAUUCACUAUCCUGAAUGGCCUGACCAUGGAGUUCCCGCGGACACGCAUGAUGUUCGUGAUAUUUUGAAAGGAUUGAUAUAUCAAGUGGAGCCACCGGAGCUUGGCCCGAUUGUGGUGCAUUGUAGUGCAGGUAUUGGGAGGACCGGAACAUACUGCACGAUUCAUGAUACAAUGAAGAGAAUUCUAUCUGGGGACAUGUCUGCUUUGGAUCUUGUUGGUACAAUAGCCACAUUCAGGUCUCAGCGAGAUGGAAUGGUCGAGACUCUGAAGCAAUAUCAGUUCUGUUAUUCUGCCAUUGUUGAUGAAUUGGAGGACCUCAUCUCGAAUCAUGGAGAUAGCAAUUGAAUAAUGGAGUUCAGAUCAAAAGAGGCAGCUGCAUCAAUUACAUUGCUCAUUGUGAUCAUUUCUUUCCUGGUGAAUAUUUUUCUUACAUGCUUUUAGCCAUUGUUAGUUUCUUAUUGAAUGAAGUAAUCUUUUGCCAACCAGUUCCUUCGAAAUGUCAUUACAUUAUGUAAUCGGUUAAUGCUGCCAUGUUAUAUAGCUGUAAAUGCAGCACAGAAAUGAAAGAUUCUUAUUCCAUGUUCUUAUAGCAUUGCUUGGAUCCUUGGACUAUUCUUAGGUCAGGAACUAGAUAAUCACAUAGGUUGGUGCUGUUCUCUGUUCUGUACAUGUUAUGACCAAAGAAUUUCUAUAUUUUAUAUGAACAUGCUAGAAAGAAGGAACAUACAGAAUUUUAACCCUGUAAUACAAAUACGGACAGAAUCAGUCUCACUUCCUUUUGCUUAAAUCAAUCUGCCAAUAAACUCGCCAGGGAUUUCCAGAAAAACCAAACCUAGGUGGUUUUUGGUUGAACCAAGUUGUCCCAACAUUUCAAGUAAAUCAGGCUCUUGUUAUAUCUGAUGAUAGUCCAGUUAAUGAUCAUUGUUAUUGAACACUUCACGCGUUUCACAGAAUCAAUACUACUACUAGUACCAUGUCUUAGAUCCAAGAAGAUUGCAACAGGUUCAUUUUCACUGCUGUUAUUAUUGCGGAUUCGAUCUUUGAAAACUUCGGUUUGGAUUUGGUAGAGUUGGUGUACUUCAUUUUGACUUGCAAAGUAAUUGCAUUGAAUAAGCAUACAGGAAUUUUAGGAUGUAAAAUUGAUGGUAGACAACUUCAAACAUACAUGUAACUUAGCAAGCUACAACCACCAAAAGCUGAUGUAUCGAUCCAUAUGUCAUAGAGUUUUCUGGUUUUCCCUUAUGUUAGUUUGGUACAGCUGUACAAUACAAUUCAUGUAACAGGUCACGAUUAUAUAAUAUUUGAGUUUAAACCUGAUGGAGAUUAAUGCGUGUUUGGAACAAACUACUAUAGGCUUUAUUAAAAAGAAAAACCUUGAACAAUAAGAACUAAGAAAAAUACAUAUUUCUGUUUACAAACCGGAAGGAAAAACUGUGUAAUCAUCCCCAAGCAAGAAACUGUGUUAUGAAAUAAUAAGCAGUACACCUGAUUAAUCAAGUGGAAUGCACACUCCGACUUAAUUUAAGUAUUCAUUCUUCAUGUCUUUGUUACUCCUGAUCUGGGGAUGGAGCAAUUGCUGGUGCUGAGGAAGGAGCAUUGCCCUGAUCGACACGCGUGAAACCGAAUUUCUUGAUGAGCUCAGUGGCAAUAAGCUGGUUAGCGCUAUCUGACGGGUGGUACUCAUCCCAGAAUACAUAUUUACUUCUGUCUUUGCAUAGUACUGAUGCAGGCACACAUGUAAGAGCCGGUCUUAUUCUUCCGAAUGAGCAGCAUGGUGAGUCUGAAUUACUGAAUCCUACAAAGGUUGAAGUUAAAUCCAAAAAAGAAAGUUAAAGAUAGAAAAUUUCAUUAUCAGAAUAAGAACAUAGUGAUGACAAGCACAUAAAAAUACCAUAUUUGCUUGGAUUGCUGAUCACAUUAUUGACAACAUCAUAAGCAUCACCAAAUCUGUAGCUGGCGUUAGGAAGUUUGGCGUUCAAAUCGUCCAUUAAUUUGCUUCCAGCUUUGUUGAAGCUGAGAGCUAAUUUGUUUGUUCUAUCUACACAAUCCCCAGAUGUACUUAGGACCCUCUGUAGUGGGAUACAACCCAUUGGUCCUAAACCAAACACCAUCAGCUGCCUUGCCCCUAAAGCAUGCAACAGCUACUCAAAAGAACACAAACAUACACACACAAGUUAGAAGAACAUAAUAAUAUCAUCAACAAGCAGAGAAGAACUAGCUCUAGCUUGAUCAGUAGAAAUGUAGAAUCAACCUGAAGUUGUGCCUUCAGUGUUUCCAUCAAGUAGUCGAUGAAGCUUUGAUCGUUGUAGUUCCAAGAAUCGCUAUAGACUGGCAUCAAAUAAUUGUUGAUGAAGUCAUUGCUGCCUAAAGCGACAACGUAACGAGCUCCUUGGAAAUACUUGUCUGCUGCCUCUUUGCCAAUUUUGCUCUUUAUCAAUGUUUGUGUCCCUAUAAACAGCUCGAUCUGCUUGGAGAGUGAAAACCUUUGAAUCUGCAAAUGGUUAAUUUGACCAAGAGCUUAGGAGGGUACAUGUAUAUAUAGUUAUAUAUCUGUUUAUUUAGGAUUGCAAUCAACUUACAAAUAAGCCACCAGUUUCAUUCAAGAUUCCACCACCUCCAGAAGCAUAGUUCACUCCAUUUUGGAGUAUCAUAUCUUCGGUUAAAGAUGGGUCUAGAAAUGCAGGUGGCCUCGGGAGACCCAUGUUAUCACCUUAAUGAAAGAAACAAACAAGUAUAAUCAGCAUCAAAAUUCAAAAACCAACAUAAACAUAACCAACUUUUUAAAUCAUAGCCCCCAAGCAGUGCUCGAGGCUCAAACUCUCUCGAGCACUACUUUGCAGGGUCAGACAAAGGUGUUACCUAUAAUAUCAGCAACUGUUCGACCAUUAGAGAAUCUCCCAUUAGGCAAACCAUUGCCAAAAUCAAUACCAUACCAGGGGAGGCUUGCUUGGGCGAGGCUCUUGCUCAAGUACUUGUUGUUUCCAACAUCAGAGAGAGAAUCGCCAAAUAUGAACUGCACCACUUUGCAGCUGUAACCAUCGAUCAGGAUGGCAAAGAUGGUCACAACCAACACUGCUACUCCCACAUUGAGCUUCAUGGUUUGAUAAUAAUCAAGCAGAUAUGUUGUAUAGGUCUUAUUUCCCAAGUAGAGGGAAGAUGAAUUUUUCUUGGAUUUGAAUACAUGUGCAGGCUGGGGAUAUAUACGAGUGAGGGAAUGUUUUCAGAUUUCAGAGAAACAGAGAGGGUAGUUUAGCUUGUUGGAUAUACCAACUCAACUACCUUGAUUUUGGUUACAAGUUAUAUACAAAGUUACAACGUUAUCAGUCUGAAAAUGCCAUAUGUUAAUCAUAUAUAGUAAUGUGAAAUGUAAAGGCAUGCUUGUGGGUUCACCUACUCAUCUAGAUUUCUUGAACCGGAAUAUCAAGUAAUUGGGAAUCUCUAGCUCUUUCAACAUGUUGGGCAAACCAUAUAUGUGCCUAUGGAGAAUGCACUCUCUAAGUGAUGAAGUUAAGUGAUCUGCAUUUCUAUCAAGUAAUGUUGUUGAGAUUCAAUAUGUAUCUAGGAAUGCUAAUAUGGUAGUUGAUUCUAUUUCAAAGUUUGUAGCCCGAUUGCAGGGGCUUUAUUCAUGGUUAGGGGUUUGACCCGAUUGGCUCAUGGAUGUCAUUGUUAAUGACGGACCCGUGACUUGUUCGAGUAGGAGGGAUGAGAGUGGAGAAGUUGCUUUCACCACCGAUAAUUCCCAAGCGUUGUAAUUCUAUUUUCUUGUUUUGAAUAAAAUUCUGAUGUUUCCUCCUAAAAUAAAGAGUUCAACGCCCCCAAGGCCCCAACAUUUCCUUCUUUUCAUAUCGUUCAAUUGUCUUUUAAACAAUUCUCGAACCAAAAAGAAUUUGCUUCUAAAAAUUUGUGUUCCCUUUUUCUAGAAUAGGAAGAGAUGUACCCAUUUUUUACCAAUUUGAUUGUGCGACUUUUCUUCGUUUGAUCUUCUAUUGUUAUUAAUUAAAUCAUACGCUGUUAGCAUCUUACAAAUCAUGUCAACCUACAAUUUGCUUGAACAAGCAAUGAUUUCCCUGAUAUUAUUCAUUCCAACUCAUUAGUACAACCACCUAACUAAACUAGAGUCGCACUUUGGUUAAUAAACUUCGUUCAUCAAUUAUUAGGAAAACUUUGCAAUACCAUUUACGACGGUUGUACACAGAGACAAACUAAGUUUAACUUUUCUUCAAAGAUAGAAACUAGAAAGUAUAGUUGUUCUAUGACUUUAACAUUAUCAAUUCAGUAUGAGCUCAAAUCGAACCCUAAUCAGUAUAUUAGGUAUGAUCAUAUAUGUUGUUGAGGAGGGUCUAACUUGUAAUAUAUAGAGAAACUUGUUUCUACCGUUGUACUGUUAAACAACGACAAACGUCGUCUGUAGAUCAUCCUUGUAUCGAUAUUGUCCUAACUUAAUUACAUUUUAUCUUUAAGGUGUUGAGUUUUAAUUACAAAAUAAUUCAAUACAAUUAGGUAUAAUCUCACAUAUAAAUUAUAUUUUAUUUAUUAUUUUUUGAUACGAAAUUUCUCAUCUUCCACGUGUACUGAAAAAUUUAUCUAGGAAGGUGGCUGUCAUAAUUUCAAUCUUGUCCGAAAUCGAAGUCCCUUCAAAUUUUAGGCUUAAAACUUACCGUUCUACAAAGCUCCCAGUAACUAGACAAAAACUUGAUGACGUGGCAGAUUCUCAGUGGUUGCAUGUAUGAUACUGCCGACCCCAUCAACGUGGCAGCAACUCGUCCCCAAGAAACUCCAAAACAGUAAAAUCAUAAAACUCCAAACAAAAACCAAACCCGAAAAUCUAUCCAGAUAUCCCCAUAAGAUCCCAGCCCUCCAUUCCCCCUAAUCCAACGGCCACCUCCCCCUCUCAUAUCCCAAACCAUAUCUCCCUAAAAGAUAAACCUUCACACUCCCUAGCUCCACCACUCACUCCACUCUCUCCACCACCCAAAAUGGCCUCCAUCGCUCUCAAAUCCUUCGUCGGCCUCCGCCGCCACUCCGCCGUCGAAAGCCCCAACUUCACCUCCCAGUCCAAACCCAUCUCCUCGUUCCCAUCAACUCCCCGAACUUUCCGCGUCCUCGCCGCCAAAACCAGCCCGAAAGUCGCGGGCCGGAACCUCCGGGUCGCCGUCAUAGGCGGUGGCCCCGCCGGCGGAGCCGCCGCCGAGACGCUGGCCAAAGGCGGCGUCGAGACGUUUCUCAUCGAGCGGAAAAUGGACAACUGCAAGCCCUGCGGCGGAGCCAUCCCGCUUUGCAUGGUGGGGGAGUUUGACCUGCCGUUGGAUAUCAUUGACCGCCGCGUCACCAAGAUGAAGAUGAUAUCGCCGUCCAACGUGGCGGUGGAUAUCGGGCAGACGCUGAAGCCGCACGAGUAUAUUGGGAUGGUGCGGCGCGAAGUGCUGGAUAAUUACUUGAGGAAUAGGGCGAGUGAGAAUGGGGCCAAUGUGAUUAACGGGCUGUUUUUGAAGAUGGAUAGUCCGGUAAAGGGAGAUGGGACGUCGCCGUAUGUGUUGCAUUACACCGAGUAUGACGGCAAGGCCGGCGGGGUUGGUGUCAAGAAGACUUUGGAGGUUGAUGCUGUGAUUGGAGCCGAUGGGGCUAAUUCUAGAGUGGCCAAGUCUAUUGAUGCUGGUGAUUAUGAGUACGCCAUUGCGUUUCAGGUAAUUUGAGACUUUCACAUUCUUUUGAUUUGAAAUUGGGUCUUGCAUGUUGGGAAUUGCUGUGUAAUGAGCUAGAAUGCGUUUAUAUAUUGGACUAGUUUGCAGUGAGUUAGCUGAUUUUGUGUCGAAAUUAGUUAAAAUCUUAGUGCUUGAUAGAGAAGCCUGUUGCUUAGGGGUAAGGCGCUCAUUGUUGUUAAGUUGUUGGUUUUUGUGUGUUUCAGGAGAGGAUCAAGAUCCCUGAUGACAAAAUGGUGUACUACGAGAACUUGGCAGAGAUGUAUGUAGGUGAUGAUGUGUCACCGGACUUUUACGGGUGGGUGUUCCCAAAGUGUGAUCAUGUGGCAGUGGGAACAGGCACUGUGACUCACAAAGGAGACAUCAAGAAGUUCCAGCUAGCAACAAGAAACCGUGCCAAGGACAAGAUUUUAGGCGGAAAGAUUCUACGAGUGGAGGCACAUCCGAUCCCUGAGCACCCCCGCCCACGAAGGCUAGCGGGGAGAGUGGCGCUAGUCGGUGAUGCAGCCGGGUAUGUGACUAAAUGCUCGGGUGAAGGUAUCUACUUUGCAGCAAAGAGUGGAAGGAUGUGCGCAGAAGCGAUAGUUGAGGGAUCAGAGAAUGGGAAGAGGAUGAUAAACGAAGGAGAUUUGAGGAACUAUUUGGAGAAGUGGGACAAGACUUACUGGCCGACUUACAAGGUGCUCGAUAUCUUACAGAAGGUGUUUUACAGGUCGAACCCGGCGAGAGAAGCGUUUGUGGAGAUGUGUGCAGAUGAGUAUGUGCAGAAGAUGACCUUCGAUAGUUAUUUGUACAAAAGGGUGGUGCCUGGGAACCCAUGGGAGGAUUUGAAGUUGGCUGUGAACACCAUUGGGAGCUUGGUUAGGGCUAAUGCACUUAAGCAAGAGAUGGAAAAAAUUGGUGCUUAGAAAGCAGGCAUUGAAAUUUGUCUAAAUUUUUUCCGGUCUUAUGUAAUAAGUACAAUCUCAUUGGAACCAAGAUUGAGUGUAAUUUUAUAUUGUAUUACAGAGACUCAGAGAAUUUGUAGUUAUAAUGUAUGUGGUAAUGAAUUGUUUUGGUAUGCGAGUAAGAGGGUGUAUUUGUAGUUUGCCAUGGUUUGCGUUGAGUUUUAACGACUAUUAGCAUCUUUCUCACUUCUACUCGUGUGGUUAAGUUGAGACAAUAUUGGUACAAAGAUGAUCCACGAGUCACGUUUGUUGUUGUUUGAUAAGGUUCACUCAAUAGGUAGCUUAGUAUUAGUAUUGCGUUUGGCAAUUUAUGUCUGAUAACGUGGUUUAUCCAUGACAUUGUAUUUCUUUGACUUCUAUGACAUUAUAUUUCUUUGACUUCUUGUAUAAGUGAAAACAUACAGAGUCAUAGAGGUAUAUUGAGCAAAUGUCCAACUUUUGUAUGCAAUGAAAUUGUCAAAGAGACAGAGAGACGAAGAAGAGAGAGUGCGGAGAAAAAAGAAAAGGGGGCAGCGGCGCAUCAUCUCAAACCCUUAUAUAUACCGGCAUCAACGACAACACUGUCGAAACAAAGAAAAGAGUGACAACAACAUCAUUUCACGCAAUCAAUUUAAACAGUGUCGUAAACUAUAAACCCUAAACUCACAAAUAACAUAGUGGAUUUAUAGUUUGAGGAUUUACGUACAACAUUGCGCCAUCAUACAAACAUGACCCUGUGACGAAAAAAUGAUGUUGUGUGCUUUCAUUUUCUUCUACCUAAAAAAUCUAAAAAAUUGACAUAGAAUGGAAAAGUGAUUGCCUAGACAAAUCGAGGCCGUCAAUAGCAAAUAUCAGAGAAGCAAAAGGAACAAAUAGAGAAGAUUCGAUUGCAUAUUGGCAAAUUGAAAUAAAGAAAGAAAAAGCCGUGUGGUAGGAGUUGGAAAAACUGGGGGUGGAUUCGUCCGAGGCCCAUCGACGGAGUUUCUCACAUCUUUCAUUUAACAAAACCCGACAACACUACAAAACCCACGCACGCUUUAUAGUCCUCUUCCUCAAUUUCGCCUUCCUCACUCUGUCUCUCUGAACUCUUCUCUGUCUCUCUAUCUGGUUGUUGUGGCCGUUCAACAACUCCAAAGGUUAGCUUCCUCCUCUACUUUCACGAUUCGAUGUCGUUUCAUUUUGCUCUAAGAGAUCUGUGGGCUCUGGUUUCAGAUCCGGUGGGCUCCAAGCUCUAAUCUUUUUCUUCGUUUCUUGCUUUCUGAAACUGAUAACUGAUUCAAAUUGUGAUAUUUGAUUUAGGGUAUUUUGUCUGAGCUCAAUUAAGAUGCAAAUAUCUGUGCUUUUUGUGUACGUGAUAUUGGGUUUGGGGUAAUUUUGUUAAAAAUAUGUGCUUUUUUUGUGCGUGUUAAAGAUGGCAGCAAAGUUUAGAUUUUUCUUGUGUAAUACAGGGUGUGAGAGAUGGCAGCAACAGCAGCAGCUACCUUUUCCGUCGGAACUGCCUUUUCCGUUGGCCGGAAAGGAGUAUCAACCGCACAGUCGAAGCCUUGUGCUUUGAGGUUCACCACCCAAAACCCUCUCAAGAGUUUCAGUGGCCUUAAGGCGGCGAGUGGAUCGUUUGCAUGUGAAUCUGAGUCGUCAUUCUUUGGCAAGGAGACCACUGCAGCUAUUCGAGCUUCUUAUGCUUUGAAAGCGCACAAGGAAGCCGUGGUGGUUCAGCAGCCGCAGGCAUCUUAUAAAGUAGCUGUUCUUGGAGCUGCUGGGGGGAUUGGCCAGCCCUUGGCGCUUCUCAUCAAGAUGUCUCCUUUGGUGUCUUCCCUGCAUUUGUAUGAUAUUGCCAAUGUCAAGGGUGUUGCGGCUGAUCUCAGUCACUGCAACACUCCCUCGCAGGUUCUUGAUUUCACGGGAGCUGAUGAGUUGGCUGAGUGUUUGAAAGGUGUGGACGUGGUUGUCAUUCCUGCUGGAGUUCCAAGGAAGCCUGGCAUGACCCGUGAUGAUCUCUUUAACAUCAAUGCCGGCAUUGUGAAGAACUUGAUUGAGGCUGUUGCUGAUAACUGCCCUGAUGCUUUCAUUCACAUCAUCAGUAACCCGGUCAACUCUACCGUGCCUAUUGCUGCUGAGGUUAUGAAGCAGAAGGGUGUUUAUAACCCAAAGAAGCUCUUUGGUGUUUCUACUUUGGAUGUGGUGAGGGCAAACACAUUUGUUGCUCAGAAGAAGAAUCUGAAAUUGAUUGAUGUGGAUGUACCAGUUGUUGGUGGACAUGCUGGGAUAACUAUAUUGCCCUUGCUGUCGAAGACAAAACCCUCAGUCAGCCUCUCUGAUGAAGAAGUUGCAGAGCUGACUGUUAGGAUUCAGAAUGCUGGAACCGAAGUUGUGGAGGCAAAGGCAGGUGCUGGGUCUGCAACAUUGUCAAUGGCAUAUGCUGCAGCCAGAUUUGUUGAGUCGUCUCUCCGUGCACUGGAUGGAGACAGUGAUGUCUAUGAGUGCUCUUAUGUGGAUUCAAAUUUGACUGAGCUUCCAUUCUUUGCUUCAAGGAUUAAGAUUGGAAAGGAAGGAGUUGAAGCUUUGAUACCAUCUGACCUCCAGGGUCUGACAGAGUACGAACAAAAGGCUCUGGAAGCACUUAAGCCAGAACUGAAAGCCAGCAUUGAGAAGGGUAUUGCAUUUGCCAACAAGCAACCAGUGGCUGCAUAGAUGCUAGCAUCCGAAUCUCCUCAUUCUAAUGACUGCUUUACAGAGGGAUAGAAAGAAUCUGGUUAUAUUUUUCUUCGGAUUUUGCUUUGCAUCAGUACUUUCAAUUUUGUGGAAUGAAGUUUAUGUCAUUCCAUUUUUCUAUGUCGAAGCACUUUGGGGAGGACAUAUAGAGUUGCUUCUGUUGUUGUAGAUGAAGGUUAGACAGUUUUGAAAUAACUUGGCUCCUCUAUUGGUUGUGUUUAGGGAUAUCAUGUAUUUCUCCUCCUGCUGUAUGUUUGCAAGAGUUGAGCUAGUCUGUGAUGCAACAAAUAAAGUUUUACCUACUUUCAUGAUAGUAUACAGUUUACCUUAUGAGCAUCUAUGAUGAAUUCAGACUUUGAAUUAUAAGCAAUUUAGCAUCGGGCAAUAGCUUCAAAAACGACUGUACUGUAUCAAUUUGACCCAAAAAAUGGCUACAAAAAGGUACAAUCGAUCGGCAAUUUUAGCAGUGUUCAGUUUUGAAUUUUAGCAAUAGCUUCCACAUUAUCUUCCAAUUAAUCUUAAAUUUUGAAUCUCUAUCUUUCACUGUAGCUUUUCACUACCAUCUAUGCUACUCUACAGUGUCACUUGUCUGAAUUUCUACAGUGAUGCUCACAUGCCGUAGUUCUUGAAUGUUCCUACCAAUAGCCAUUGCAUGAGCAACGUCCCUCCCGAAAAUGAUGAAACCGACUGCGGUCUCUAACAAUUAUCGUCCUGUUAUAAACCCCUGAGAGAAUCAUUGCAAAGUUGUGGCAAUCAACACAAGUGCGAAGAUUCUUGGCCACUCUAAUUGUCAUGCCAGGUGGAGUUGCCAGCACUCCAAAAGCAAUAGCUAGUUUCUCGCUGUGAUAGGAGAGUGCAUAUCCCUUCUCUGCUGCCCCCAAAUUGUGAAGUUCAGAUGAUACAUCAGCAACAUAACCAGCAAUCUUCAGCUGACUAUUGAUCUCAUCUAGCAUUCGGUAGAUUUCGUCCUUCCUUGGAUGUGAAACAUCAUCCACCAAAAACUCGUGGACUGUUCCAUCCAGUAUGAUUGUGCUGCAGCCUGGUGUAGUUUGAAUUGCAUUUUCCUUCAUAAACUUCCUCAAUUCAGUUAACUUCUCCCAGUUUUUAGCUGUAGAGUAAAUAUUCAUCAACAGAACAUAGUCCCCUGCCUCUUGAGCCUUGAGUUCGAUCAAAUGAUCCACCACACGUUCCCCAAGGGUUUCAUAGUUAUGAAUCCUGCAAGCCCCAAGUAAGGUCCUCCAUAUUUUCGAAUCUGGAUUAAUAUCCAUCGACAUUAUAAGCUGAUAAGCUUGAUCAAGUCGACCAGCACGACCCAAUAGAUCAACUAUACACCCAUAGUGAUGGAUAUUAGGCACUACUCCAAACUCUUUACUCAUGCGCUCAAAAAUAUCCAUUGCUUCAACAACCAACCCACAAUGACUGCAAGCAGAAAGCACACCAGUAAAAGUCUGUUCAUCAGGUAAAACACCCAUUCUCUGCAUCUCACAAAACGCUUCAACCGCGUCUCUACCAUACCCAUUCACUGCAAGCCCGGAAAUCAUUGCACUCCAUGAAACCACAUUUCUACCCCGCAUUCCCUUAAACACCUCAUAAGCCUUAUCCAAACACCCACACCGCGAAUACAUAGUAAUAAGAGCAUUACACAGAUUAGAAGCGCCACCAUAACCAUGUUCCUCAAUGUACCUAUGAACCCUUUCGCCAAACUCCAAGGCGUUCAUGUUUGCACAAGCUUGCAGCGUAAGUAAACAAGUAACAUCAUCAGGCUCACAUCCGUAGCUUCCGCUCCGCAUAACGUCAAACACACCCAGAGCGUCCCUGCUGUGGCUGUUAUGCAGAAAGCAAGAAAUCAACACAUUCCAAGCAACAGUGUCCCUCUGCGGAAUUUCAUCGAACACCUUACAUGCAUCAUGAUACUCCCCACAAGUCGAGUACAGGUUCAUCAGAGCUGUGAGUAAGCGACUAUCUGAAUGAUGCCCAUCUCUAACAAUCCUAGUUUGCACCUGAAUUCCUACUGAUAAGCAUUGCAUUUUAACACAGCACUGGAUUACGAAGAAGGACGACAGCGAGUUGCAAUGAAGCCCUCGCCGUCUGAAGUCUCGGUAGAGAUGAAUACCCUGUUCGGGUGAAUCGCUCGUGGAGUAAGCUCUUAUGAGAGUGUUGUAGUGAAUGGCAUUGGGUUUGGGGAUUUGGGCUAAGAAAUGGCGGGAGUAGGUUAAGUUUUUGAGUGGCGGGGAAAGCGAAAGGAGGGAGAGGAAGUGGAAGCAGAUAGAGGAGUCGAGAAUGAGAGAGGUUUGGAGAAUGUGGGCGUGGAUUUGGAGUAAAUGGGAUUUGUGGGUGCAUGAUUUGAUGAGGGAGAGGAGGGAGUCUUUUCGGGUUUGAGCGUAGGAGAUGAUGAUGGGUUUGGUCUGGUUUUGAUGGUCAUGGGGGGUUUGGAUUUGGGAAUGGUCGAGGGAGGUUUGGUUAGUGGUGAAGAGUGAGGGGAAGGUGGAGGUGAGACGAGUAGAGGAGAUGUUGUGAUGUUGGAGAUGGGCACAGUUUGAACGCAGGGACUGUGAGAUCGCAGUCAUUUUCAGCUCUUUGCUUUCUCACAUCUCUAUUUAUAUGUUCUUGCCAUUUUUUUCUUAAAGAGCAAGAAUUUUGGGAAAUUUUGAGUUUUGAUAUGGGUGUACCAUUACACCAUUUUGUUUAUUUUCAAGUAUUUGGAUUGAGAUACUAAAUUGGUAUGAUGGUAUUUUUCUUUGGAAAAUUCUAGUUCAAGCGGUAAUUUUUACUACCAUCACCUCGUGUAAAGCACGUGCAAUGUAGACAUGUUAGUGUAUGUAUGAACAUGUCUAUGUAUGUCAUACAUGCGGACAUAACAAACAAACCCAUUUUCUUUUUAUAUUUGUAGAUGAAAAUUUGAGUUUAAAUUCUCUGUCGCGCAAGAUAAAUAAAAUGUAUGAUCGUAUUGAGAUUUAUGUUUCAUUUCAAUUAAAUUUAGGUUCGUACAAGUAACAUGUUCUAAUUAAGAGAAAUACAAACAAUUCACUCGGUUGUUCUUGUUUCUGUUCUCGCCUCUUCAUCCAUGCAUUAUAAAUUCAUGAAAUUAUAUUUUCCUUUUCCAUAUUAGGAGUAUGUAUGAAUUAUUCUAUGAACGAUAUUUGAUAGAUAUGCAUCUAAAACAGAAAAAGAAAAAAACUAAAACUAAAUCAACCGUUUAAUUGACCAACCAUUUUCUGUAACAGGGUGCUCUGAAGAUGAAGUAGUCUUUCAGAGCCCAGUGUUCAUAUCAAGCUAUGAACUAAUUUAACCAUGUGUGCAAACCCACAAAAUCAACCUAAAAAAUCAGAAAAACUAAACAACUGAUCUGGCUGUUAUGAUAUUCCCGUUUAUUAUAUCAUCAUGCUAGCGGAAGAUGAAAAGGAAUCAGACAAAAGCGACUUAAUCUCUUCGUCUUCCUCGUCUCCUCGAUUGUCAAUAAUAGCCAUGGACUUCCCUCCACGAUUAUCAACAAUGCUGAAAUUAGAAGAAUGGGGUGGAUAAUCAAUCAGAUUCAUCCCCAUGAUCUUUCUCUUCUUGUAGUUGGCCUUAAAACAAGCCUGUCUCAACCGCUUGGUAUGGUCCUCCAGUUGCAUAUCCGGAGCUUCCUCCAUCAGCUUCUUCUCCCUCUCCAAUAACUCGAUCGCAUUCCGAAGCUUCUCUUCAUUAUUGUCAUCUUCUUCCUUUCCCAACUCCUUAAUAACAAUCAAGGAACGUUAUAUUUUCCGAUGGUGAUGAAGAAACUGAAUUGAAAUAUGUCGUACUUAAUGUUACUUUUAGCUAGGUACCUGAAUGUUCACCUGAAUGUUCCGGAUUAGGGUCUGGAGGCUGGUGAGUUUCCGAUGAGGCCAACGGCGAACACCCAACUCCCGGCACCUUUUCUUCAAAAGAGUCAAGCCGACGUUUAGUUCUUUCGCUGCUUGAGUUAUAGGCAUGUAAAAGUACUGGGAGAUUGUUUCCCUAGACAACAAUUUUGAUGAUGAAUAGCUUCGAGUACUGCUACCACUUUUCACUUCGUCUCUCAUGCAUCGCUUCUUAUGCUUCCUCUCUUCACCGACAUGUUCUCUAUCUCCGCCAUUUUGAUCUUCAUUGCUCGUAAGCAGUAAAAUAGGCUGCUGCUUUUCUUGUUGCUGUUGUUCUUGUUGAUCAUGAUCAUGAUUAGGGUGCUCAAACCCAGAAGCGAACACCUCAUUGUGAACUACAUUCUCAGUCUCAUUUGCAUUGUCUCCAAACAAAACAUCAUCUCCUACACGUUCAGAAUCUAAAUUAUUACAUAAAAAUUUAUAUAAUGAGAAGUUUACCCUGAAAGUUUAGGGCAUAUGUAAAUGACUGUUCAUCACCUUGAAAUAGGCUUCGGAUAGGUUGUAUGUCAAGAGACGAGUAAAGAGGGUCGUGAUCAUGGAGAUUCAGACAGGUCUCCAUGAAAGGAAGAGCGUCAACAAAACUAUAGUCUUGCACCAUCGGCGGAACUUCAUUUUCCCAGUCCAGUACUGGAGCAUAACCACUUCACCACCAAUCAAGAAUCAUAAGGUUAAAUGUUUAAGUACCAAUGAAAUCAAAGGACUGCAGUUAGAUCAAACAAUAAACACGAUACCUGAAAUCAGCAGGAGAAAAUUGAUUUGCAAAUGAGAAUGGGUUUUCAUUGGAAACCCCCACCCAAUUAGGGUUACUCAUGAGGGAAUGACUCUGAUGGUGACUCUUCACUGUCAUUGCACCCAAAUCGAGAAAGAGAGGAAGAGAUUAAUGGCCGGCGGUGAAUAUAAAUGUGCAAAACUCUGAUCGACGAUGACUUAAGGAAGAAGAAGAAGAAGAGGCAAAUAGUGAGUGUAUAUAUAGGCUCAUGCAUUUACAUGUAUGCAUGAAUCAGCACAACUACUAGUGUUGUAAUUAAUCAUUGUGUUACUGCUGUGGUUUGUGCGCGUUUUAAUGCUUAGUGAGAGUUACAAGAAUGUAGUAUUAAUUACUUGCUAAACACCUCUAAUACAAUUUAUUAGAUUUAGAGGGCUUAAUCAUCUUCAUCAUUAGCCUACAUAAACGUGCGCCGCCACAGCUCCUCCUCAAUCUGUUUUUUUCAUUAAUAUUAAUUAUUCCUUCUUUCUAUUUAUCUUUCUCGAUUUUGGCUAGAUAUGCUUAGUAUCUAUAUAUAGAGAUUCAUUCAACUUAUUUGGGUGGAUUUAGAGUGGAUUAGUGAGUUAAUUUGUUGGAGGAGUGUGCAUGCUUGCCAAGUCUGAUUUUCCUUCCAGUUCGGACACUUGGACUUACUGAUAGUCGAAUACGACCUUAUAUUAUUAUUUUUUGAUUGAAAUACCACCUUAUGUUUGGGAAUGACAUUUCAAAAAUAAAAAAAUAAAAAAACUUUCUAGAGGCGUAUAUGCAUGUAACGUACCAAUAAUCAUUUACACGUUAAGGGGACGUACUGAUUAAUCAUUUUGGAUGAAUUAGAAUUGAUGAAACUUACUAGUGAGUGGGGUGAGAGGGGAGAGUUACUGCUUUAUAAUUUCUCUGCGCACUAUUAUCCUUCAAUCAUUCAUCACUUUCUAUCAUCAGUUAGAAAUAUUGUGAUUAAUAUUGUAACCAAUAGUUAUAGCCAAUCCUUCUUCUAUAUCGUGUAUCUUAAUGCAUAUUAUGGGUAGUGGUGGCUGAUCCAGUAAUCGGCAUUAAAUCAUAAAAAAAUACAUGGAUUAUGAGAGAUGAACUGAUGAAUGUUUAAGAAGUUAUGAUUGAUAACACAAUCCACAAUCUUCAUUAAAGAUUAGAGAUUGUGGAAAAUCUGGAUUCUGGAAAUUCUGUUUUUCAAUCGCGAAAAACUAUCCAAUAUGCAGCUGAUGACAAAUACCCUCCCACCCCCAAAACAAAUUACCAAGCUUUUGCAAGAAUUAAUCGAAAGGUGGGAAGAUUGAAUUUUUAAUACAGUUGUUUUGUUUUCAACCCUUGGAUGUUAAUCUAAUAGUGUCUGACCAUGAAUUUCUUGAUCAGUGACUAACCAUGUGAAGACUACUCUUAAUUUUGAUCCAUCACUUUCCUUUUUAAACUAUGUGGGUUUUUUGAGCUUGAACUAAGCAGAGCGAAAAAUGAUCACCAAGCAACAGCAAAAUCCAUAAAUAAUCAAAAUAUGGAUAAUACAACCGUUUAUGCUUUUGAUAUGGUAGAAGGGAAAUAAGCUGGUCCAAAACUUUUCUUCUUCAAGCCUUUGGGAAACUCGAACUCCAGGCAGGGGAACAUGAUACUAUGAUUCAGUUUCUUCCCCUGCCCCUUCCACGGCCACGCCAACUUCCUCUACCCCCACCACCCUUGCCGCCGCCUAAGGCUUUGUUCGCAUCACCGUGUGCUUUCAUGUUCUCUGGCAAGGGAAGUAUAUGAUCCACACACUUUCUGAAACUAAAAUCAUCACUGGCUCCAUCUUCCCUAACAAGGAAGUAGCACCUACUUCUAUACAAUGGAUGGAACCGGACUUGGAAAGCCUGGAUCCCUCCACCAAUCUUUUUAUCAGGCUCAGAGUGACCCUUCUUGAGCAAGUCCAGCAAAACCAGAUAUUCAUACUGCACCACAAUACAACAAGACAUUCAAUCAAACAAUUCAAGAAUAUAAUAAAUUAAUAAUAUGUAAGAAAAGAAUUAACCAGACAUUUUGUCAACUAUAACACAUGAUAUUCUAAUAUACAUUUCAUCAAAUUCAGAAGCUGUAGACUAUUUCCACCUAGCAUUUCAAAGAAAAUAUCAUACAUGUGAGCUAGAGGGUAUCAUCAUGAUGUAGAAGAAAGGUGAAAUAACAUGUAUGAUUCAUUACCCAUAUACAAGAUGUUGCUCCUAGUUUUGUGAUACCUUAGUGAAAACUGUAAGCUAUACUACAAUGAUUUCCCUCCAAAUCCUUACAUCCAGAGUAUAAUUCAAUACUUAACAACCCAAUGUACCCUAAAUCAAUGUCUGUGAAACACCAAAACUAGAGAUAUCAACUCCAACACGCAAGAAUGAACAACCAAAUUUCACCUUUAUAACUAGGGUAACAAGCACAAGCUAAUUACAGAAACCAUUCUAAUAUCUCAAUUAUAUACCAAAACAGAGGAAAAACACAAAGCCAGAACCAAAUUUCCCAAAAUCAGCUCAACCAAGUUAACCCCAUUCUUUGAUUUCCAUACUUUCGAAACUACACCCUAAAACAAUGUUAAUGAAACACUAGAAUCGCGCAUGUCAAUUACAACUUCCCCGUCUACAAUACAAAACUAUCCACAAUGUAUAUCAACACAUGCAUCCAAAUCCUAACUCGAAUAUCAACCGCUACACGAAUAAGCCCCAAAAUUCUCAACACCCUACAUCAGCAACACUCAAAUUUCACACCCAAACACAGUAAAUUCACACGCAUUAACAAAACAAGUUUCAAUCUUUCAUCAAAGUUCAAUACUUUAAGCAAAACCAAAACAGAGCUCAAAAAAAUCAAACAGCUCUAGCUAGUUUCUAUUACCUUAUUGAUAUUAAGAUCAGUGGGCCAAUAAUGCAGGAGCUUAUAGAAAUAGUCGAACAUCUCAACCGCCGAACCGAAACUCUUCGGACCCAAGCUGACCCGACCCGCCCCGUUCUCUCCUUCCCCUAACUUCUCCAACCUUUGCUCCUCAGCUGACUUCUCCUCCACCUUCGCCUUCUUCGCCGCGCCGUCGCCGCCGCUCUCCUCCGCCUCUUCUUCCUCCCGGGCCCGCUUAGCUGUGGCAUCGCCGUUCUGGGCCUCGUCGAUAUUUUGGGCAGGGGCGGUUUCAAGGUCCAUGUCCUCGGCCGCGGGGUUGGUAUCGGCGAUUUCAGCGACGGUGGUCUCUGCCAUGAUUAAUUGAGUUUGAUGAGAGUGUGAGUGUGAAGCUAAAACCCUAGGUUCUUUGUCCUCGUUAUAUAUAGACUUCAGUAGCGGGCUUUUUAUUUAGGGCCGAAUCUGUCUCACCCGAUAUUUCCAUAUUUUGUAAUUUUUUUGGUGUAUUUAAUUAUUAUUAUUAUUUUUUUUUCACCUUUUUGCUAGUUCUCACAUAAAUCUGAGUUAUAUAAUUAGCCCAUUUAGCCGGGUACAACACUUGGCAGUGUCACGUGGUGUUCCGGAUACAGCGAAUAAUUACUCCUCAAAAGAAAUUUUUUUUGUAAUCUUCUCUUUUGCCAAGUAAUUUCCAAUUUUGUUUGCCUCUUUUUUUUUUCUUUUUUAUGUUGUAUGAAAAAAGAUUGUUCUCCUAAUAUCAUUUAGUAAUUUCUACUAUGAACUUCAAAAAUAUAGAGAAUGAAAGGCUAGUUUGAAAUCUUUGACUCCUUUUAGUUAGUUGAAAACUGACUUGGAUGGUGUCUAUGAUCAUGUCUCUAAUUGUGGUGGUGUUGGUGUAAUAGUGAGGGGACUCUUCUGCUUCGCUAGUUGGAGGUGUGUUUUUACAGGUUGGGCAUAUCACAUAUGACAUCACUAAAUUGGUUGAGGUUACAGCACGUAAAAUAGCUUGUGAAUUGGCUGUUGUGACCAAUUAUUAUGGAGUCAGACCGCCUUGAAUUGGUUCAGGCUUCGAAGGUUCCUGAUGAUGAUAUACUAUACUUUGGGCAUAUUAAGUUAUAUCAAGCUCAGCCUUGUGGUUCUUUCUUCUUCAUUUUUCAUGUAUGUGUAUAGAGAUGCUUAUAUGGUGGCUCACAUAGUUGUAAAACUAGCUCUCAAUUAUGAUUUUUAUUGAUGAAAUUGUUCAUGAUUUUUUUUUUAUCUUCAAGUUCAAGAAAUAUUACUCUCCCAGAAUAAUAUUAAUAUUUAGUCUUUAUUUUUUUGUGUUACAAAACGAAACCGCUGAAAAAAUGAGAUACCAUUUCAGGUUAAGGGGUUGGGAGCACUUUAUAUAUGACCUUUUUUUUUAUACAUAGAUGUAUGACAAUUCCAUAAGUGAUGUGUUCCACAAGAUGGGGUUUGAACUAAAAAUCUCUUAUUAUCAUGAAAAUUUUUAUAGCGUUCGUACCGUUUGCGGUUUAAACAUUUUUUCACUUGACCAACCUUUUAAAAAUAGAAAAAUAAUUUAAAAUUUACAAUGAUUAAGAAUAUAGGAUUUCCAAUAUUAAAUUUUAUUAAUCUCUAUUAAUCUAAAAAAAUCCUCCGUUUUUCAAAGUUUAUAUUAAUAUCAAUAAUCAACUUAACAAAAAAGUCGAGAUUUUCUUUCUAGAAAAGGUCUAAAUUACUUACCAAUAAAAAGAAUAAAAAAUAAUGACUUUUCUCUUUUGGACAUAGCCCACCUACUCAAAGACAAGACUCCAUGACUGACGUCCGUUACUGUGACAAAACGCGCUAAAUUGAAAACACCAUCUGAACCGCCAAAUUCCACCCAGACGGUACGAAUUUCGCUACGUGUCACCAUCCGCUACAGAUGAUCACAGACGAUCUAUAUUCCAGCUUCGGAUAGGGGUUACCGAGCCUAGCGAGUCUUAUCCGAAGCUGGUGCGGUGUCCCUUCCAAAUUUAAUUACAUUUCUUUCGAGGUGAAGAAGAAGAAGAAGAAGACGACGACUUUUCCAGAAGAGAGAAAACAAAUUUCCAAGCUCAAAGUCUAGGUCUUUUCCAGGUACUUGUGCUUCUCUUUUUCUUCUGCUAAAUUCAUCUCUGAAAUUCUUGAAAAUGUCAUACUUGUUGAUGUAGAAAUUUUGCCAAGGCGUUUAUAUUUUGAUCGCGUUUUGUGAAUUUUUGGAUUACCGAUUGGUAAUUUUUUUUCUUCUUAAAUUUGUUUUGCAAUUUGUGAGAAAGAUUGAGAAUUUAUGGUUGUAGGUGCUAAUUAUUAUUAUUAUUAUUUAUUUUUUUUGGAAAUUGAGUUUUUGCUGAGUUUAAAUGGUUGAAUCUGUUGGGGUCAUGAAGAAACAGUGAUGCUAUAUUGAUUUAAUUGCUUGAAAUGCAGGAUUGAUUUCGUUGUUUUGAGUUUUGAUGUGUGAUGAAUCUGAAUUUUGUUUUCGAAAAAAAUCGGGAUUAAGCGUCAAUAACUCAAUAUUUUGCUGCAUUAGAAUCCAGGACUGGUUAAUUUAAUUUAUCCUGAUCAUACCUGAUGCAUAGGUAUAUUGUGAGCUUUGUGUUAAUUUGAGCCGGAAGGUUUCGGAAUUUAAUGGUUGUGGUGGUUCUGUCUUGUCGGUGCAGGAGUUUUUGUUUGAGAGAGAAUGAGUGAUCACCUGGUGUUGUGUGUUGACCACUUCACGAAACCUGACAGUUUGCAAGCACCGAAAGGGACUGAGACUCCAGGAUCUUCUCUGGAGGCCUCGUCGUCAUCAUCGUCCCAAUCGGCUGAGAUACCGAGUUGUGCAAUUGAUAUUAAGGGAGCAGGGGAGAAUGCUGUAUCUGAAGAAGAGGAGCCGCUGAUUCAGACUGUUGAAUGUCGCAUUUGCCAGGAAGAGGAUGGUGUUAGUAAUCUGGAGGUCCCCUGUGCUUGCAGUGGCAGCUUAAAAGUAUCAUCUGAUUCAUUGAUGCUCAUAUAGUUUUAUAUUUGCAGUUUUGCAACCUUUUUUAUUUUUCCUUUUUCUUUUUGGGGUGGGGGCAAACGACAGUCCUUUUGAUUCUUAUGAAUUUGAAUUGGUAAUUCAUUUACAAUAAUCGGUCAGUAACUUGGUACUUCCGAGAGUUAAGUUCUUGAAGUAGGUUGUUCUUGGGCAUAUUAGUUUGAUUGUUGUUAGUUACAUAUUCUUUUCUCUCUGGUAGUAAGUGACACCUUCUAUACUGCAACCUGAAGUACUACUUGACAUGUGCUGUUUAUUCUUUUUUCUUCAUGUUUUGAUUAUGCUGAGAGAUCUUAGCUUGUCUACAUUUCUUCCUGAUUUCAUUUGUUCAUUUCUUUUUUCGCUAUCCAAUGGAUUUUAACAAGCUUUUUAUCCAAACUAAGAGUUUGGUAUUAUGCUCCUUGUCCUAUAUUUACCUAAGAAUUGCAGUGCUUUCUUGUAUUCCAAAUCAAUGGUUUAGUAUUAGUAUUUUAAUCCAAGUCUCUAACUGUUACUUCUACAAUUCCAGUAUGCUCAUAGAAAAUGUGUUCAGAGGUGGUGCAAUGAGAAGGGAGAUAUCAUUUGUGAAAUUUGUCAUCAGGUAAUUCGCUGUAAUCCAUUGCAUAUACAGUGGUCAUUUUCAAGAGUGUUUAUAGAAUUUGUUUCAUUUCUAUGUUAGAGAUUUAUGGAUAUUCUUUGUAUUCACAUAAGUAAAGCUAUUUAGAAGCUAUCAUUGUCAUGCUUGUCCACUUCUUUGAUUGCGAAGCAUCAGUAUUUUGGUGUAUCGUGAGAAUGUUAGUGUUGUCUAAUCAAUUAACUAUGAUAAUGCAUGUAUGCAAUUUAUUAGAGCAUAUGAGCAUUUUUUGGUAACCUUUGAUGAUCUCAAUGGUUGAUUGAAUCUUUUCCAGUCAUGAAUUGCACAGUUUGUGUUCACUAUGAUGAAAAAGUUCUUUUGAUGCAGCCUUACCAACCUGGUUAUACUGCCCCAUCACCUCCUCCUCAGUCUGAAGACACUACUAUUGACAUCAGGCAAGUAUAGAAUUUAAAUAUGCUUUUGAACUUGUUUAGCCAUGGGAUUUUGACAAUCUUUUUAUUUUUUCAAAUUAAAAUUUGGAAAGAUCCGGGAAUGUGUAUUUAUGAUAGGGCUAAUUGUAUGACAAUCUUCAGGCCAAUAUGGUGUACACCUUGUCUGUUUUGACCUUUUAUAUUUUGCUUCUUGAAUUUGUCUGACAGUGAGGCCUGGACAAUCUCUGGUACCCCCUUGGAUUUACGUGAUCCUCGACUACUGGCAAUGGCAGCGGCAGAACGUCACUUUCUUGAAUCUGAAUAUGAUGAGUAUGCUGAUACAAGUGCUAAUGGAGCAGCUUUUUGCCGCUCUGCUGCUCUAAUUGUAAGCCACAAUAACCCUUGUCAAUACUAGUGAAAUGGUUUAAAUUUUUGUAUUUUUAAGGUUUUUUUUUUUUUUUUUUUUUUUGGUGAAUCUAUUGGAGGAUGAGCAAAAUCAACUCAUGUUUUUAUCUUGUGGUCUUUAUUAACAUUACUCUACUCAUUAACAGUUUUGUUCACCUCUUUAGUUUACUAAGUCUCCUUUCUUCAUGGUCAUUUGGUUUGGUGUAAUUGGUUGGCUUUCUUUUGGUCAUGCAAGUUGCAUGUUGCAUAUGCAAAUGCCCAUUUUGAAACCUUGGCAACUCUCAGUUGAACAAGAACAGUGUCAUCUUUUCCUGGUUGAGAAGUUUCUGUUAUCUACAUUGACCUUUCUCCCUUUGUUUUUUGGCAGUUAAUGGCUCUUCUACUCUUAAGGCAUGCUUUGACUCUUCCCAAUGGUGACGGGGAUGAUGAUGAUGCUUCUACAUUUUUCUCUGUAAGUGCGCUAUGGAUGUUUAAUGGGUCCAAUAAAUUUGACAAUUUUGCACCAUCUAACUCCAAUGAUUAAUUAACAGCUUUUCUUACUCCGAGCUGCUGGUUUUCUUCUUCCCUGCUACAUUAUGGCCUGGGCCAUCAGUAUAUUACAACGUCGAAGGCAAAGACAGGUUAGUAUAGGCUUUGCUGUUUUUGCAGCAACAAAUACUAAAUUAUCUCUUUUCUCUUUUCUUUUUUGAACAAGAUCACAUCUAUGAGAUUGGUUCCAUCUGAAGACUGAAAUGGGAUUUCUUCUCCAUGCUUCAACUGCACUGAAAGAAUUUAGAAAACUUGCGAACAAUUUUACUUUUGUCAUCUACAAAAAGUUUACUGCUCUUGGUAGAUGAUUGCAUGCUGUAUAAUAUUAUCUUCUUGAAAACCUUUUGCCAUCAGUGGUGUUAAUAUGAAUCAUAUGACUAUUUAUUCAGAUGGGGAUUAUACUGUCUUGUCCUUUCUCUUUUUGUUUCUGUAUUGAUGCAUAUGAUUAACUGUAGCACAUAGUGAUGCAUAGCUUCUAGAAUGACAUUGUUGGUUGCAGGUUGAUUUCGGUUAAAAUAAUGCAGUUUCCCUUUCCCCUCUUUUUUUAAAUAACAUUUUAAUCUGUUUGUCUAUUACUGUUUAUCCAGGAAGCAGCAGCACUUGCAGCAACUGAGGUUGCAUUUAUGCUGCAGGCAGGGCAACGUCGUGGAUUGCAGUUCACAAUAGCUUCAGGACCUGCUGUGACUCCCCAUCAGGAGCCAAUUCAAUAAUAUCAGUGCUCCACAAUUCUGGCGAUCUUCUUUGUUUGCGAAGAGAAUGGGAACUGAGAUUUGAGCAUAUUGUUUUUUAUGCUUAGUAGCAGUAAAGAUAAAAAUCUUUAACGAGUGUCUGUAUCCGUAAUCACAUUUUUUAAUACAGCUCACUUUCUUUCGAUAAAUGUUAUAUUCCAAUGCUAUGUAUAUAAUUUGGUUCUCAAGUAAACUACACUUGAUUCAAAAAGUGUAUUUUUCACAUAUUAUAAAACUAUCUUGGAUUUCAUGAUUUAGUUCUAGUUAGUUUACUGUUAUCUUAUUUUAUACUGCUCAUGAUGGAGUAUUGUAAAUGCUUGGCAAGCAUGUACAUAGCCUUCAUUAUGUAUCAGUAUUCUUUUUCAUCUUAUAUUCCAUGUGCUUUUAUUAUUUGGUUCCUUUUGGUUUCAAACCAACAAAACCGGUCUCUGCUCUUUCCUAUCUGCAUUUUGUUGAUUGUUGAGGUGAGGGACUCAUUGAAAUGUUGCAUUAUAUGAGUUUAUUGGAGGAUCAAAUAAACUCGUUGCAGUUUUCCAUUUACAUGAAUCUAGUUUUUGAUUCAUGCACCAUUGCUGAUGUUAAAUUUAUGUUCUGGCUUUCAGCCUUGUAGAUUCCUUGCACCAUUGCUUUCUUGGAUCCAGAUGAAGAACUAACGUUACACUGUGAUGUAGUUGUUAAAAGUUAAAUGUGAUGGUGAAGAAUGAUUUGGAAAGCAAUAGUGCAUUCAGUUCUUUUACUUUAAUACAGCUCUCAAAGCAGAGAUCAGGGAUCUAAGAGCUUAAAUCCAGCUUGGACCAUGACCAGUCCACAUCCUCCAUAGGUUUUGGUAAGUUUUCGAAAAUGAAAAGAACAGAAAUAUAAAAGAAAAUGAAGGUAGAGAAAGAAUGAAAGAUGGUCUUCAUGGAUAAGUGAGAUCAAUAUAAAGAAGGAAAAAGAAGAAGGGGAGAGGCCAGAUAUGCGAGCCAAAAUGGGUUUCCUUUGAAACUUUGAAUGAGGUAACUUAGGGAGGGAGAGUUGAGCAAGCCAAAGAGAGCAAAGAAAAGCAUAAAGGAAUUCCAUUAAGCACAAGAAACCAAGACUGUGAUUUUUGGUGCAUGGAGAGAAGAGCUUGGAAUUCUAAAGCUAGAUUGUUAGCUUAAAGCAAAGUGAGUUUGGAACAUAAAGCCAUUGCUUGGUUUGUUGUUUGGUUUGUUGUUUUUGGAGGAAGGGGGUUACUAUUCCCCACCAUUACUCCGAGUUCUCUACUUUUUAUGGCUUUUUAAUUGCAGUAGCUAUCUUCUUAACUCUUAAGGUAGUAUUUCCCUACAACCCUAAAAAUAUUCCUCAAGGUGAUGAACAAUGAUGCUGUAGUCUGUCUUUGUACCACUUCCUAUGAAUUAUUCUUUAUGUACUUGGUGGUUUGAUAUGUUUAGUAACUAGAAACUGGGUUCUUUUCAAUGAUUACAUUUCAUCUCAACUUAGCUGUGUAGCCAGUGUAGGUUUGGGUUGAGCCACAUAUUCAAAGCAUUUAGCAUAUGCUUUAGGGAGCAAAUCUUGGGUAUGGAAUACUACUUACACAUCAGCAUGCAUAGGGUGACAUGGCAAGUUAAUUAGGAAAUUACUCUAGAAGUUGAUGGAACUUGAUGCUAGUCUUGUUUGGUGAGCAAGAGCAAGGCAGAUGAUAGAUGGAUGAAGAUAUAAUGCAAAACCAAAUGACAAAAGAUACUUGGCUUCCCAAGGAUAGUGUUCCAAGUUAACUUUUUGUUCAAACCUGUCAGUCUUCUAAAACAGCCUUAUAUUGCUUCUAUGGCAGGCUUAUGAUUGAGGUGAAUCUAAAACUUCCCUACAUGUUCUGGCCUUCUGGGGCCUCUAUUGUGCUUUAUGCUUUUAGUCUUCCAAAUCCCAUAAAAGGCAUACACCCUUGGCUUAAUCCCACAGGAACGAACCAUAAGAAGGAACCAAGUCUCAAGCACACUACUCAUUUCCUUAUCAUUACUCGAGACACCGAUACCUACACUACUACCACUCCAUCUCUUGAUUUUGCAGAGUGCAAUCAAACAUGGGUGUUUUGGCUUACAAGGGGGCCAUUCUUCUUGUUUGCAUUGCGUUUUUAGCUCUACAGCCGGAAAAGGUUUCCGGGUUAAGAAGCAUGGAUUUGGCUCUGAGAUGGCAUAAAGGGCACUUCUCAUUUUUUAACAGUCUGCAUGUUGUUAAGGCUGUUGCUGUAGAGAACUUGCUGAGCUUGGCGCCUGCACCAGCAAUGACAUUCGAUCCAAGUCAAUCAAACAAACGAAAAGUUCGAAAAGGAUCAGAUCCCAUCCACAACAGAUGUUGACAUGCUGAUGCAGUUUCUGAAUGCCGGAGAGUUUUCAGGGAGCAAGAAGCUGUGGAGGCUGUAACUAAUACAAAGUUGGUUGGUUAGAAUUCUAUAUUUUCGCUUGUUUUAGUCAGUACUGUUUUUUUGUUGAGCUGAAGAACUGCAGCUGAUCGGAACAAGUCAUCGAGUGAGCAUCAUCUCUAUAAUGUAUAAACAUAGGUCCUAACCAAUAGAUGAAUACUUUGAGAAUGAAGAUGCUGGCUCUCACAGAAUACAUGCAUUUCUGAUUUUUCUAUAUAAAAGACAAGAUUUUAUAUUACGGUCCUGCACCUGUGAGCUCUGACUAAUUUUGCAUCAUAUGCCACAACCUUGAUUGUUUCACACUUCACAGGCAUUGUAACAAAGAUUUCUGCGUUUUCUCUACAAAACAACCAAUGCUUAUACAAACGUAGUAUAUCAGAACACAAUCAUGAGCUCGAAGGCUGUCAUUUCUCUUGAAAUAACUAACAUUCCCAUUCUGAGUGCAGUUACUGUAGUGAAACAGGCGAUCAAAAUCUCACAUAUUAUAGCAAAAAAGGAACAAACUUUUCAUUGAUAGUGUCAAGAAUAAAAAAUGAGCUUGUAAGUAUAUAAUAUCUACCACUCGAACAAAAAGUUGAUGUUUCAUAAAUGAUGCAAAGGUAAGACCUGCAUACAUCAGACGCUCUGAAAUGGACAAUGCCAUUUUGUUCUUAAACAAGUUGAGACCUGUCAUAUCUCCUCUUCCUGUUAUAUUUAAAUUGUACAGAUGAUAUCUUGCGAGAAACUGCCUGCCAAAUCAUAUCAACAGCAUCGCCAGGCAGGGAGGGAUACUGAUAUUCGAAAUGAUGUACAACUUCCUUCAACCUUUCCCACAUUUUGGUCCACUUCUCUUCAUUUAUUCCUCGAAGAAGUUUCAGCAGGUAACCCUUCUUUAUAGCAUCAUCCCCACGAACAAAUAUGCAAAACUGUGAGUAGUCUAAGACAUCUUCAAAUGGUACCUCAAUCUCAUCACUGAUUAUCACUGGAACACAAUGACUAGCAAUGGCAUCGAAUAAGCGAUUUGAGGAUGGGGUAUCGCCAGCUAUAUUUAAGCAAAAUUUCGAUGAGGCCAUUCCUUGGGUUGCCUUGCGAACACCGUUUCCUCCAAUGCUACCAAAAUUGAAGUCAACAUCUUUCUCAUCUUUUAGAAGAUAAUACAAUUCUUGUCGAAUUACUCCUCCCUGUAUCAAUAUAAAAAGUAAAUAUUACAUUAAUUAAGUAGAUAUUAUCAGGCUAUUCUACUAUUCUAAGCCUGACUAGUGCUUCAUCAGAAUAAUGUACGACAUAAAAAGGAAAGGGAAGAACAAUAAAGCAGCUAAAAAGAGCAAUCACAAUAGUGCAUCAAGAAAUCAUAACUAGCAAAACAAAAUUUGAAAAUCCUAAUUGGCGGAUACUUCAUAACAAGAUCAAUUCAGGGAAGUAUGAUCAGAACAAAUUAAUUCCAUCAUGCAAUUUAAUUCCAAAUAAAAGCAAACAGAAAUAAAGCAUAAUCUGCUAAAAUUAUUGAGACAUUUUAAUCAUGAAGCAAUACAACAUCAUAUCAAAAAUUGAAUGAACCAUGAUAAGAGAUGAAAGAAGGAAAGACUGACAUCUUUUCUGUAUAUUGCUCCUCGGAAAUACACUAGUAUAGGACGCUCCUUGAAUGUGGCUGAUUUGCUACUGGGAACAGUCUUCACCAAAUGUCUGUAAGGAGCGAUUAUAUCCUUCCCAAGAUUUGCUAUUUCAGCAGGAUAUCUUCCAAAAUCUGCAAGCACGAACAUGGCAGAACCCAAUUUCUUUCUUGCAUCCAACAUGCUAUUUGGAUGAUGAGCAACUAUUAAAUGAUCUUUCCCACCCUUUCUUUUCCAUUCAUUCCGGCCCAUCAAAAACUGCACCAACUUGUCCUGCAACCUCUUGUUGACACUGACUUUCUCCUUCUCAUGAAGUUUAGAAUGCCGGUUGUAACUCAGAGAUGCGAAGAAUGGCACAAAAAUAAAAUCAGCUUCUCUUGGAUUGUGCACCCUGACUAAUGUACAAGGUCUAACCACAUUUACGUUAUCUGAUGAUAAAAUAUCAAGGGUGAGCCAAUAUUCUAUACUGUGCUGUAAAUUCAGCCCGCCUGGGUAAGGUGGGAUGUGCUGUGGCCAUGUUUGAUUCUCCAUUUCUUUCCAACCCAAUAACCCAAAGUGAAAUUCAGGAGGCAAGUCAUACAUAAAUACCCUCAAAAGAGCCUGCUUCGAGUCACAAACCAUGUUCUUUCUACCAACAGAUCCCACUUUCUUGCUUGGAUUGGAAACUUGACAAGCUGAUUCACUCAUUCUUUUCAAGGGUUGUAUAGCAUCUACUUGGGGAACCUCAGAAGAGAGGAAAGAACAUUUAAUAGGUUCCUUUUCCGCAUGGGGCUCAAAGUACACAGAUGUGCCAUUAACAAGCAUAAGCUCAAACACUGAUCUGGGAAUGAAAGAUGUAUUGCCAGAUUGAAGAAGGAACACAGAAGAAAGAAUUAAAAGGAACCCAGAAACUGUUAUUAGGGAGGAAAUGAACUUUGAGGGAAUCCUACUCUUUUCUGACAUUGAUGACAUUCAGGGCACCAAACUCAGCUAACAAUGCAAUCAAUGAAAUUCAUCUAAAUAUAAAUUGCUUCAGCACAAUAUAGAAAAGACAAUGCCCAUCAAAUCAGCUUCUUAACAGAACAGGUUGAUCAGCAUAACCAUAUGGAAAGAGAGACGCCCAUCUCGAAUGAGAAGCCAAAUUCUUCUUAAACAUCAGAAGGGUUUUAACAAGGACUGAAAACUACUGGUUCUCUUGGAACCCAUUGCCAAUCUACCUAUCUCUACAGCUCUACAACCAUGAAUUCAAGAAGAAAUUCUUCCUUCUUAAGGCCAGGGUCAUAAUCUAAUAAGUUUCAACUCAAUAAAGAUAGAACCUUGAAUUUCUGGGAAAACCAAAGCCUCUCUCUUGAAAUCACCACUCACCAGAGCAACAGAGCUAAUCAUAAAUCUGCACAUAGAGAAUAAACACUGAUUCAGGAGACUACUUCUUCAGCUGAAUACCAGAAUCCAUGAUUUGGGUUCUUGAUUAGUUGAGCUACAUGAAAAUUGCCACACACAAAAACACAAACAGAGGAAUUGAGAAAAAAAAUAUUAAAAGCUAAACUUUUUAUUCAUCUGGGUAUCAAAGAAAUCAAAUAUCAUGAACUGGGUCAGUUAGAACUUACAAAAGCUGCACCUGGGUCAGUUCUGAAACUUCACGGCAUGCAUUGUGCAAUAUAUUUCCAGACUGCAGAGGGACUAAGGUCCAAGAGACUCGUCGAACACAGAGAAGGGCCUGAACAAAGUCCAAUUAUCAUUUGCUAACUUUUCUUGUGGACUGUGACAUCUGAAUCUGAUUAAUACUUUAUAUCGAUCCUUUUUGGGUGUUCACGAAGUGGACAACAGAAAGAGCAUGACUUUAAGAACCUUUCUCGUGUCCGUUUGCUUAGUUCUUUUUUUGGUACGAGUCUUUGCCAAUCUAUGAAUCAUAAGUUUUUUCUUUUUUUUUUUUUUUUUUUUUUUUUUUUUUUUUUUUAAAGGGGUUUGUGGUUAUUAUCAUCCUACCGUCUUUAUUAUUUUCUUUGUUCAUCGUACAUAUUUAUUUCAUCAUACA